UCAAUUUGUGUCUGCUAUUUUUUCCUGAAAGUGGAUGCGAUGUCACUUCAUCACUUAUUUAUUCUUUUUGUUUUGAUGACCGUGGGGUUCCCAAUCAGUAAGUCUAGACUAAUCUCCACGAGGCCUUCCAUCCGGGUACGCACGGUUAUAGGCGGGAAGGGGGCCAAGGCGACUCGAACCCAGGGCGGGCACUCCAGCCGGAGUUCCAAUACCACUAGGCCAAGAGCUCUUGGUUAUCACUUAGUUAUCGUAUAAAACAAUACUAUGAUAAUUAUCGUCAUAAUCUAAGAGCCACAUUUUUGUGUACUUACGAAUGUUCCACUUUCAAUUACGCAACGUUCAUAAUUCGUUACACCAAAAAAAAAACGUUCAUAAUUCGAACCUUAACAACCACAAAAAGAAGAACAAGCUAGGUACGUUAACGUUCAUUGUCCAAGCUUAUAUCAAAGGUCCUGAACACGUCGAUCUUCAGGCAUCAUCAUGUCCACUUUGGCUCAAGAUCGAGCAAGCUCUUAGUUAUUAUGAAGAGUCCAAGAGGGAUCAAUGUUGAUAACCGCAACAUUUUUUUCUUUUUUUUUCUUUCUGAUAGAAACAAAAAACUCUGAUAUUGAUGGUUCUCUGUUUCAUCAAUGAUCCAGGAAGCUACAUACACAUAUGGUGAAGAUUAAAUGAUUUAGCUUGGACUCAUGUGCUUGUAACUCAAGAUUCUUUUCUACUGUUUGUUCUUUUUCUUCUUUUAUUAAUUCUUUGUGCUUAUUGUUUCGUACGUGAAUGAUUGAUUAACAGCGCCAUAGAAAUAAAACUAAUUAAUAACUGGUUCUUUCAAAGCGAGGUCGUAAACAAUCUUGAAAUAGGUUUGGUAAUUUAAUUUAAGAUAAAAAAAAACUUCAACAAACUUUACCAUAUUGGCUUCAGUCAAUUCCGAGAAACAAAGUCACUCGACUGAUAGGUCUGCAAACCUCGUGUGGCAAGGGUUGGACUAGACCAGCUAAGAGCUAGAUUAGAAAGGUGUUUCUCGGCAGGAAAUGGUGUAACAUCAGAGUGAAUAGUUUCUGUAGCUGGUAACUCAUUCACCUUUCCUUUUAGUCGAGUCGGCUCUGUGCCUCUGCAGCUUCUGGGUCUGGGCACUUAGCAGCCUCUACUUUCACAUUUCUUAAAUAGGUCUGGUUCCCUACGGCUACGGGGUUCAUGCAUUGAAGUAUUAGCUCGAUUUCCUGUUUGAAUGGUUAUAAAGGAUGAGAUGUGGAGUCAGCUUAAUUAACGGUUUACUAACUUAGAUAACCUUUAUACAUUUUUUUUAUUAGAAUUUAUUUGCAAUUUGUAAUGAAAUAGACGUAGAUAGUUCUUGAAGUCACAUACCAAAUAAAUCAUUUUUCCCCAACAAACACAGCAAGCAAUGGUUAAACUGGAUUUGAACUGCUUACAGACAAAUUUUAAAUUCCGGUUUAAUAUCCAGGUUCAGCUAAACCGGACCUGAACACCCCUAGUUUACGCGUCUAUAUAUACAUCCAAGAACAAUCUAAACGGCGGCUAACGUAUCUCUCCGGCGAUAAACUCUCCUCAAAGCUCUCAACUUUCUCCCCCGAUCCAACGAAAAUGGAAGAACCCACGUCGUCUUCAGAAUGCGGAAUCACCAUCAUAGCCAAACCCCGCAAAACCCUUCCCCAAACCCAACCUCCAAAACUCGAUCCCACUCCCCAAUUCGAGAAAUUCACAAGCACCGACUCCACCACAUCCGCCGCGAACUUCGAAUCCCUCGGACUCUCCGAGUGGGCCUCCGAGACCUGCAAGGAGCUCGGCAUGCGCAAACCCACUCCGGUCCAGACCCACUGCAUCCCCAAGAUCCUAUCCGGACGAGACGUCUUGGGGCUAGCUCAAACCGGUAGCGGCAAAACGGCGGCGUUUGCGGUGCCGAUACUCAACCGCCUCGCCGAGGAUCCUUACGGAGUGUUCGCCCUUGUGGUGACGCCUACACGAGAGCUGGCGUUCCAGCUCGCUGAGCAGUUUAAGGCCUUGGGGUCGUGUUUGAAUCUGCGCUGCUCUGUGAUCGUGGGAGGGAUGGAUAUGCUGACGCAGACGAGGAGCUUGAUCUCGCGGCCUCAUGUUGUGAUUACUACCCCUGGGAGGAUUAAGGUUUUGCUCGAGAACAAUCCUGAUGUUCCUCCUGUCUUCUCUAGAACCAAGGUAAUACUAAAAAAGUUUCCACCUUUCUUACUCCAAUUAUUGCUAUGGAAUUUUUUAAUCCUAGACCAAUUUUUUGAAAAAUGGUUUAAGAUUAAUCUGACAGUAAUUAGAUGUUUUAUAGAGGAUUUUUGAUUAGGCAGUCGUCUAGAUUGAACUUAUAGGAGAUUAUUGAUUAGGCGGAUGUAUAGAUUCUUGAAAAAUGGUUUAAGAAAAAUGGGACUGUAAUUAGGUGUUUUAUAGAGGAUUAUUGAUUAGGCAGACAUAUAGACUGAACUUAUAGGGGAUUAUUGAUUAGGCGGAUGUAUAGACCGAUUCUUUGAACCCUAGACCAGUUUCUUGAAAAAUGGUUUAAGAAACAUCGGACUGUAGUUAGGUGUUUUAUGGAGGAUUAUUGAUUACGUAGACGUCUAGACUGAAUUUAUAGGAGAUUAUUGAUUAGGCGGCAUCAUUUUUUGAACCCUAUUUCGAUUCUUUAAAUUAUUGUUGAAGAAAAAAUCACUGGUUGCAACCUUUUGAUUAGUCUUAUUGUUUUUUUUCUUGUGGUAUUGUUUGAUUUAGUUCUUGGUGCUGGAUGAGGCGGAUAGAGUUCUUGAUGUUGGUUUCCAAGACGAGUUGCGCACCAUCUUUAACUGCUUGCCUAAAACUAGGCAGACGUUGCUGUUCUCCGCUACGAUGACGAGUAACUUGCAGACUUUGCUUGAGCAUUCUUCAAACAAAGCUUAUUUCUAUGAAGCCUACGAAGGUUUAAAGACCGUUGAUACGCUGAAGCAGCAGUACAUUUUCAUAGACAAAGAUGCGAAAGAGCUGUAUCUUGUGCACAUCUUGUCGCAGAUGGAAGAUAAGGAGAUUCGAUCAGCCAUGAUUUUUGUCUCCACUUGCAGGUCUCAUAUUCAUUGCUUUACCGAGUUCACUCUUUUAGUUUGUGAUUCCAUUUGAAAUGUUCUGAUUAGACUUGGUUUGUGUUUUAGAACAUGUCAAAGGCUGAGUCUUAUGCUUGAAGAGCUGGAAGUGGAGAAUGCAGCUUUGCAUUCACUGAACUCUCAGUCUUUGCGACUCUCUGCGCUCAGUAAAUUCAAGUCCGGGAAAGUACCGAUACUGCUUGCUACUGAUGUAGCCAGCCGUGGAUUGGAUAUUCCUACUGUUGACCUUGUAAUCAAUUAUGACAUUCCAAGGUACCUUCUUUUUUUGUUCUGUUAACUGUGCUUUGAAGCUUAUUGAUAUUAUGCUUGGCUUGUAUCAGAUAUCCUAGGGACUAUGUUCAUCGUGUUGGACGUACAGCUAGAGCUGGUAGAGGAGGACUGGCUGUAAGCAUUAUCACUGAGGUAUAGCUGGAGAUUAUAUGGAAUUACAUGAGGAUUGCUCUCAAGUUUUGUAGUUCGUUACCACCAAUCCUUGAAUUUUAUUUUGCAGACCGAUGUGAACCUUAUUCAUGAAAUAGAAGCGGAAGUUGGAAAACAGAUGGAACUGUACAACUACAGAGAGAUCACUGACAGUUUAGAAGUCACAAAGGUAAAAGAUUCGCUAUGCGAUACAUUAGAAGUUCUCGUCUUAUGUAGUUGGCUUAGUCUUAUACAAUACCAGCUGAUUCACCAUGGUGUUCUAGUAUUAGGUUUUAGUUCAUCUUGGUAUAUAAGGCAUUUCAACUUCAAGCAAAGGUCUUAGGCUUACGCGGAAGUUUCUGAAUCUGUGUCUGCAGGUAUCAAAAGCUAAAAGGGUGGCGAUGAUGAAGAUGCUAGACGAUGGAUUCGAAGACAAGGUCAAAGACCGGAGGAAACUGAAACGUAAAACACUUGCGGAUAAAGGGAUGCUUAAGAAACGGAGCAAAACGAGAAAAUCUGCAGAAGAAAACUGAUGACUAAAAAAUCAUCAUCAAAUUUUGUUCUCUUAAGUUCAUUUUGAUCAUCAAAUCUCUGACAAUCAAUGUCUAUUAAUGUUCUUACUUUUAGUAUUUGAAUCUUGAUUGCCUGCAUUUUCAAAUCUUCUGAAGAUAAACACUUAUGUAUCAGUCGCUAGUUUUUUUCCACAUUAGUAGAAACAAUACCAUGAAAUUUCUAAUGAUGAAGUGCAUUUCUUAUGUAUUGGGCACAAGCUCUUUUCCACAUAAGUAUCUGAUACUUUAACUGUUAAUACAACGCCUCAAACCAAUUUUAUUAGUUUAACUUGUUUUUUUGGUUUUGGUAAAAGAAAAGGGAAAGGAGAAAAGGGUCAACAAAUAUCUCCCUCCUGACCCAAACAUGAGUAAAGAGUGAAGAAAACCUAUAACGAAGCAAGACUGUUUUACUUUGAAGUCUUAUUGUGAGCUGGUGGUUUGGAUUGGUUCGAAGUUGCAGCAGUUGACAUCACACGUAAACGACCAGCUAUCUCCGUGAACGAUGGCCUUGCCGUUGGAAUAGGCGCCCAGCAUUCCUCCAUAAGUAUUCUCCAGUCUGAGUCACAGUAACCUGGUAUGGUAGGCCUCAGUGUGUUGUUCACUAUCCCACCUGCACUUGACCGUAAAUUCCAUGAGUUGUUAAUACAUAGUCGUGUCCUAGACAAAUAAGCCGACCAGACAAAAAAUAUACAGAUGUUUCAUUUCUUCUAUUUCAGACAAAGCACAACCAAAACCGAGACGAGUAGAACCUCAGUUUCUUUGAAAAUCAGUCAAAGCAAAAACUCAAACCGAACAAAAACAUUACUCUUACCAAAAUAGUAAUCAGUUUCUAUAUCAAACCAAGGGUUGUAUGUUAGUAAGUACGCACCUAUUAUAGCACCAUAGUGCAUAUUAGCAUAUGGUUCCUCUCCAGUUAGAAUCUCCCACAAGACUAUACCAAAAGAGAAGACAUCGACCUGCAGAUAAAAAUCUAACAACUCAGAAUGGUUUCAUUCUUUGUGUUCACUAAGAAACAUUUUAUUUUUUCACCUUCUCUGAGACUUUACUGCUGCUGCCGUUUAGAAGCUCUGGUGCCAUCCAUGGAAGGGUUCCACGUACACCACCAGAUACCAAUGUAUUUCUUUUUAUUUUCGACAAGCCAAAAUCACCAACCUAGAGGAAAAACAAACGAGUGAAAAGUAUUAAACACACAAAGUCUGCUUUUGUUCAAAGACUAUGAAUGAAGUUUUUUACCUUGCAGAUUGGGCGAGAAGGAUCUUUGAGGUUCACAAGUAAGUUGUCACACUUCAAAUCGAAGUGAACAAUGUUCUUGGCGUGCAAAUACUCCAUUCCAAAUGCAGCGUCCAUGGCAAUGAUUAGUCUCUUACGACGAUCCAGGUGUCUGGAAACAUGAGAAUGAAAAGCAAAGAAUCUUUAUAAAUGUUCAUCAGAUAGGAGAACAUUGAGACGUUAUAAGAGAGAGAGAUAUGUACCUAUCUUUCCUGAGUAGAACAUGUCUUAGAGAACCAUCAACCAUGUACUCUGUUACAGUAGCCAAUGUUCCACCAGGUCCAUCUUUCACAACACCGUAAAAUGCAACCACAUUUGGAUGAUGAAGCUUUGAAAGUAUCCCAGCUUCUCCCCAGAACUCACCAGUCUAGGAAACAAUUUAAAAGGAAUGCAUUAGCAUCUCAAGACAAGCAAUCUUACAAGUCUUAUCAAUGCCGAAGAAACACUCACUAAUCUCUCUUGUUCAGAUGAUCGACCAGCAAAGCAACUCUUCUUUAUCCUCUUGAUGGCAACAUCUGACCCUCUCCAUUUCCCAUGAUACACUGUACCGAACGUCCCAGAACCAAGUUCCUUUAGCUCCUCUAGAUCAUCAUUCAUAAUGAUCUACAAACAAUUAAGAACAAAAGAAUCGGACCAAGGUUAGAACCAGAUAAUUAACUUUAAAAUCACAAACAGAAGACUAAAUGUAAGCACGCUGCUCAGGGUAUGAACUUUGAUGUUUGAUUCUUCUAACAUGUCCGAAAACUUGCCUAAAACAUUAACACAGAUCCUUUCUUCAAAUACAAAAUAAGUAAAAGUCCAUCAUACCUGUAAGUCAUUUUUAUCGUAAUCUGCCAAAGACGAACCAAGUGGAGGAACAGCAUUCCUUGUUUCUUUCUUUUCAUCCUACAAGUAAUCAACCUCAUUAGUACAUUCUCGUUUUGGAAUCAUGAAAUAAGAGACUUAUAUACCUCAUGUCCACUAUCUGGCGUCCUUAGAUUCUCAACCAUAGCACCAAACUCCUCACUCUCUGUGACCUUCAUCUGUGCAUCCUCGUUAGCGCCAGCAACAUAAGCUUGACCUAAAUUCUCCUGAGGAUCAUCUCUGUUCAAUGGAGCGACGUGAUGCAGCUUGGUAAUCCCUCCGCUAUCUUCCAUGUCAGAUGGAAAGCCAGGUGGGAGAUCAUCUCUUUCACUGAACUGUUCAUCUGCCAGUUUCCGGAAAUAAGACCAAUUCUUAGGAUCAUGAUUCUCUACAUUCAAACUAACACCAGCACCAUCAUGCUGAUAUGCAUUGACGCCGCCUGGUGGCACGUCUUCAGAGAGCGCCUUUGCAAAUAUCUCAGAAAGGAAGUCCUGAGGAAACCUAUCAUUGAUGUCAAUAACAACACCUGAGGAAGCUUGACCUUCAGGGCUAACUUGACUGGUGGUGGUGGCUGUGUCUUUAUGGUUAAGGUUAGGAGCUUCAGCCUCAAUACCUCCACCAUUGACCAUUUGAUUCUUGUUGGCAGCGUCAGGGCUUAAAAUCUUAUGCUCAUUCGAUGCCCCAACUUCAUGUGAUUUACCCUCUCCUUGCUUUACAGGAUCUUGCUGAGCUUGUGAAUGAGACAUUAAGAACUGAGAGCCUAUAGAGUCAUCAGACUUUGACAGGCGGUUUAGCAUUUCCAACUGUUCACGAGGUAUCCUCUCAGAACGGUAUACUCUCCGUGUGGGUGGUGAAGGCUCCGAGUAAUCAAGAUCGAUUAAAUUUGACUCAGAGUCAGUCUGAGCAAGACCACAGGUACCACUUGACGACGAAAGCUGAUCAUCCUCACCACCUGAUACAGGAGCCUGCUCACGAACAACCGCAUCACGGUAUGUGGCAGCAGGCUUCACAGGAGUGUUCUGUCGUGGGUCUCUUCUUGGGGGCAACAUAUGUGUAGCAUCCUGGCUAGGCACAGUUGGAGAAACUGAUGGCUCCUGAACUUCGACAUUAUCAGCUUGAGGAGGACUCUGACGAAACUCAGGCUCUACAUUCUCACGAACUCUCAUCUCAGGUUUUAUGUUUAGCUCUCUUCCCUGCACUGCUGCGUUUUGCUGUAUGACACUAGGGUAAGGGUAUGGCUGCUGCCCUUGGAAAGGCAUGGAGAUGGAGUAAUUAGAAGAACUGUGUUCAUGAUGCAUAGGAAACUGCUGCCUUUCUUCACAGUAUUGUGGGUACAUUCCAUAUGAGCUAGGGGAAACUGAUGGUGGAUACUGAAGAGGAAUAGACUGAGGAUACUGAAGAGAGGGACUCGGCGGAAUGGACUGAGCAUACUGAAGUGUAGAACUAGGAGGAACAGCUUGCUGAAACUGAAACGCAGCACUGUGUGGGAUGGAUUGAGGAGGAUACUGAAGCAAUGAGCUUUGUGGCGCAGAGUCAGAAUACUGUAUAGAGGACGGUAACUGCGGAGGUGCAACACCGUUGGUGUUCCUAACAUCCAUCUCAGCUAAGUUGUUUGCAGAUCCAUUAAGAGUAGAGUUGCUUCUUGAACCAAUGUCCAUAUCAUUAACAGCCACAACAUACUGAAACUCAGAGUCAACAUCAUUCUGCUUAACCCCCAAAAGAGAACCAUCCAAAUCAGCUACGGAGAAGAGAAACAUUCUAAGCUUCUGCGAGCCCCCACGAUUCUCCAUCUCGUUAUACUCCUCCAUCAUGUUCUGUAGAUCUUCAUCACACGUUACAGACACCAAGGCGUCAAGAUCUUCACCGGGAAGCUGAUACUUCACCAUGUGAGUCCGGUAGUAGAUUUCAAGAACCUUUUGCCUGAGCUCCUGCCAAGAUAUGUCUCUUCUUAUGGAGAUAAUGUGCGUUUCGCCUCCAACGUAUCUGAGCUUUGAAUCGCCUGGACGUGGGAGUAUUUUCCCACCGAAGCUGCAAAGGACUUUAACUUUGGCUGUUACACUACCUGAGGCUGAAGAAGAAGAUGCAUACCCAUGAAAGUUUCCUAGACUUGUAUCUUGACAUAGUGAAGCUUCUGGUGCUGACUGGAUAAGCCCAAGUUGAUUACCAAACUCGUGAAGCGGGUAGUUUGUUCUGUCAUAUUCUCUCAUCCCGUUUCCCACCAUGUCAUUAGCUGCAUUGGGGUUUGUAGACCUCUGAGAAAUCACUCGAUCACGCAGAAACUCCAGAGAGAACUCCUCUCCUGUUUGGAUAGAGUAGUGAAGGCCUGGCUUAACUUCUGAAGUGUUAGAAUUGAGAGGCCGAUCAUUUGCACUCGUGGUGGUGCCUGUUUGAUUAGGAGUAAAUGCUUGAGGUUGAGGGAGAGAGUCAUUCACAUAGCCAGGUUCCAUAUGGUGUUGCUGGAAAGGAUGCUGUUGUCUGUUUCUAUCCAUCACAACAACAACAACAAGAAUCCUUCAAAUUAUUCUAUUUGCAAGAAGAAUCUUGCGUACUUGACUAUAAUGAACACACUGAGAUGCCAAUUUGCUUCAGAGACUGAAGAACCUUGAAAUGAUAAGCUGAAAUGAAGACAAAUAACAUAAGUUUAAAAGCUUUGAAUCUUAUUAUAUAAUCAAGAAAAUUGCAAGACCAGGAGGUUCAUCAUACAGAUUCAACUGUGGAUGAAUAAUUAAAACUCCUAAAGGAUGCUUUUUGACUCUAAAAAUGGAAACUUUUUCAUGGACAAUUAAUCCAAAACCUCAAACAGAAAAACCCACAAGCCCAUAGUAAUUAGCUCGAUUCAGGAAGAUAAAAAAGGCAGCUGCUUUCAGAAUUAAGAAAUGAAAGAAGAAGAACACCAAGAAAAGAAAUGUAGAGCUUUUGACCUGAGCGGUGAGCAAACUUAAGAAAGAUUGCGGGAGCUAGCUACAGUCCAAAACAUCUUCUCUUUGAUGGAAUCUCAGGAUAAAUACAUCAAGAACCCUAACGUCUUUCUUCUUUUUAUUCUUUUGUUUUCUCUCACUUGUCUUUCCUCGUUUCUUACUCGAAGGAUGGAGAUUAGAGGAAAAUAUAUAUUUUAAAAAUUACCAAAUGGUCAGACUACACUUUUGUAAUGGAAAAAUACAAAAUAUUUAGUGUUAAGAUUUUAACUUAACUCCGUCUGACUCGGUUUCUAAAAAACCAGAAGAAAUCGUGAACCGUACAUCUUUCGAAAGACGGAACAAUGGACGGCCAAGAUGAUAGAAUAAGAUCGGUGGAGUAUGGAAUCAAGUUGAGUCAGUCCCGUAGCUUAUGUUAUACGGUUUGCAUUAAAUGUGCACUUUCAAUUUCAUCAGAUCCUAAACUUAAUAACCAACGUGGCCAUACUCUUUUCUAUCAUUUUCGUUAUAAAUACUCUCUUUUCAUUAUCUCAAGUAAUGUUUUUUCUUUCCUUUAUAAAUGUCAAUGCACAGUUUUAUAAAAGUCUGAUUAAUAUGGAUUUCAUAUGAAUAUAUGCGGUUUCUUGUUUUAGAAAUGCUAAUAAUAAUAAUUCUAAAAACUAUAUUUUUUAAAUUUUGAUCUACGUAUCUAUGCUAAACAUAGAUAUUGAGUGUGCUUUCGUAUCUGACCCAAAUCGGUAGUUGAACCUGUAAACUCGGUGAUCCCAAUAUAAUCCGGUUUAACCUGUGACCUAACCUAGAAAAAACUGAUAAUAUUUCUAAAAUUAAGAUUUUAUUUACUUUUAAUUUGUAUAUAAAAUUGAAAAAACUAUUAUAAUUUUUUUUACUUUGAUGAAUUUUUUUACUAUUCGAAAAAUAAAGAAAAUUAUAUAAGAGAAAACCAGAACUUAUUAUAUGAUAAUAUUAGUUUGUUUUUGUUAUUUAUAUUAUAAGUUUAAAGAUGCCGGAUCAUAUAAAAAAUAUUUGAAAUAUUUAUUUGUUACUAUUGUGAAUAUAUAAAUUUAAGUAGUUGGAGAAAUUAAAAUAUGUAACAACCUAAGUAAAUAUAUAUAGUAUUUGCUUAAAUAAGUUAAGAUUGAUAUGUUUUGCUAUAAAUAAUAUUACUUUAUAAAAGAAAUCAUUAAUAAUCUUCCCAUUUAAAUUGUUACCAUAAAUUGUUUUUACAUCAAUUUUUACCAUAAAUAAGUAGAGAAUUUAUGGUAGUUUUGUUAUAAAUAUAAAUGCAUUAUGCUUAAGAAUAAUGCGUGACAAUCCGUCCAGCUCACUCGGAUUCUGGCUCACAGUUCACUGAUCCUAACCCUUCACCGCUGGAGGAAACACUUCCACGUCCACCGGUAGGUUAUUGGUGCGCUUGGCGUUACUCGAACCCAAGACCUCAUCUUUUAACAACACUUUUCCAUGAUGAGUUGUCACCAAUUGACCUGCAAGGAUAGUCAGCGAGGACUCACAUGUGAGGGGUUAGGGUCGGUGCCCUGCUGGGCUGUGAGUCGGGUUCCAAGUGAGCGGGACGGAUUGUCACAUAAAAAGUCGACUUUUUGUGACAAUCCAUCCCGCGGACCCAGGCUCACAGCCCUGUAGAACACCGACCUUAACUCUUCACAUGUGAGUUCUCACUGACUCACAGAUCAAUUGGUGACAACUUGUUCCGUGGGAGUGCUGUUAAAGAGUGAGAUCUUGGAGUUCGAGUAACAUCAAGCGCAUCAAUAAACUACAUAGGAGAAUCAGUGAGGGCUCACAUGUAAGGGAUUAGAGUCGGUGCCCUUCAGGGCUGUGAGUCUGGAUCCGCGGGAUGGAUUGUAAGUUGUAACAUAAUGUUGUAGAGGUGGUAAUUAUAUUAUAUAGUAUUUUUAUUUAUUUUUUGGAAAAAAAGUAUUUUUUUUUUUAACCUAGAAUUAAGUUAAGUCCAAUUUCGUGAUUCUGUUUUAAAAGUAUUGAUUUUAUAUAACCAAAUUAAAUCUAGAGUUUAUCUCUAAGGCUCUGAAUGUUUCUAACCAUCCCGUUCUGUACCGCACUUAACAGUAACAAAACUCUCUACAUAUACCAUAUAUCUAUACGUUUUUAUAACUGUUAAAACUGCACUGCAGUUGUACCGCUUGUCCCGCACUAUUAUUUUGGAAAUUUCAAUAAAAAUAACAACUCUACAUAUUUAUCUUACCAUGACUUGAAACUUGUAAGCUUGCAUCCUAACAAAUAUAUAAGUUCCUGUUAACUCUCAAGUUUUAAGCCCAUUGAGCCUACACAUCGUAUACGCCCUGAAUGUGAUGCGGGGUCGCUUGUUAAUAGAAACGUGGAAGUCAAAAACGUACUACUAGGAAAUAGGAAACAGAGCAUCUUCUUCGUCUGUUGAUGGUGAUGGAACCACCAGCUUUGGCUCAGCAUGAAUGUUACAUAUGUGACAACUAAGAGAACAUUAUCCACUUUUAUUUUUAUGAUAUAUCUACGGAGCUGAACGCACUGCUAAUAUAUUAUAGGCUAAAUUCAUAUAAGUCAAAAGUCUUCGUUGAUAUGUAAUCAAUCAUGCAGCAAAAUAAAAUAAAAGUGUUUGAAUCUUUGACUUAUUCUAUGGAGCCCACUGUGAUUCACACGGUUCAAAGUCUUCGUUAUGCAACUAAAAUGGGAAAAGAAAAGCACCACCAUGGUUGCUUGUUUUCAUUAGUGACUACUUAAGCAGUUGAAAGAAAGCACAAGAGAAAGCACUAUCUUCUUUGUGUGAGUGUGAGUGAGAAAGAGAGAGAGAGAGAGAGAAUGGAUUGUAAUCUGAAACUUUUCUUUUUUGCAUUUUUUCUAUCUCAAAUCCAUGGAUACAUAGUUGCUUCUACUUUCCCUCUUGAUUUCCCUGUUGCAUUACCUAGUUGCAUAGACCGGUGCUACCGUACUGAUGUUCGUGUUCCUUACCCUUUUGGGAUAGGCAAAGGUUGUUACAAGAACAAAUGGUUCGAGGUUGUCUGCAACCGCUCAUCACGCCUCUCUCUUCCUUACCUGCCAAGCAUCGGACUGGAGGUUGUUUCGUUUUCCCUUACAGACGACUUUAUAUAUGGCUAUCGUUAUUACAAGAGCAACGGGUUUCAAAUUCAGAGUCCAACGAGGAAUUUAGGCUGUUCAUAUGGAAUAGACUAUAUCCGAUCUUUGAAUCUAACGGGGAGUCCAUUCUUCAUAUCAGACAAUAACAGGUUCACUGUUGUUGGAUGUAACAUCAAAGCGAUGAUGGUGGGAACAGGGCCCCAAACUGUUGGAUGUGAAGCGAGAUGUGGGAAUGAGACCCAGUAUUACAAAGAUGCUGACAAGAGCUGUGUCGGAUAUAAGUGCUGCCAGACCAAAAUACCGCCUGGUCUUCAAGUGUAUGAUUCAACUGUGGAGAAACUGGGACCUGGUAAAAACUCAUGUCAGAUGGCCUACUUGUCACGAGAGGACUUCACAAGGUACGAGCUUAAUUCAUCCGAUCUAACAAAUCACUAUACCCUGAACAUGGAUCUGGAAUGGCGUCUUGAAGUUUCCCCCAAGAUCUCUCCAGAGAGUUCACAAUGCGAGAUUAGUACAAGCGUAAUCCGCACGGAUGAUCAGUAUAAGUAUCAGUGCAGCUGCAAAAAUGGUUAUGAAGGCAAUCCUUAUCUACCUGGUGGAUGUCAAGGUCUGUAUAAGCUUCUUCUCAAUUUGGAUAGAUAGCUUGUGUGUGUAUACUUCUCACUUUGUAUUGUUUUUGUCCAGACAUUAAUGAAUGCAAAACUAUAUAUGGAGUGUGUGGAAAGCACAGGUGUGUGAAUGUGCCUGGAUCAUUCAGAUGUGAAAAAACAUGGCCAGCCAUUCUAGGCAAGUUAUUAUUAUAACUAAUGUUUUCUUCAUUUCUAGAUUUAAACUGAAUAGAUCAAAGAACAAUGCUCUAAGAGUUGUUCUGCAGGUGGAACUCUAAGCUCCGGAUUGUUGCUUCUAGUCAUUGGAACGUGGUGGCUAUGCAAGGUUAAUAAAAAGGAGAAAGCAGAGAGGCAGAAGAGGAAGUUCUUCAAACGAAAUGGAGGUUUGUUAUUAGAGCAACAAACAUUCUCCCAUCAAGGCAGUGUCAACAAAACAAAACUGUUCAGCUCCAAUGACCUGGACAAAGCAACUGACAGAUUCAACGCGAGCAGAAUACUAGGGCAAGGCGGCCAAGGUACAGUUUACAAAGGGAUGUUGGAAGAUGGGAUGAUCGUUGCCGUCAAAGUCUCCAAAGCAUUGAAAGAAGAUAAUCUCGAAGAGUUCAUCAACGAGAUCAUCCUUUUAUCUCAGAUCAACCACAGAAACGUUGUCGGGAUCUUAGGUUGUUGUCUUGAGACAGAGGUGCCUAUGCUGGUGUAUGAGUUCAUUCCCAACGGAAGCCUUUUCGAUCAUCUUCAAAACCCAUCAGAAUACUUCCCAAUGACUUGGAAAGUACGUCUCUGCAUCGCCUGCGAAGUAGCUGAUUCACUAUCCUACCUGCAUUCAGCCGCAUCUGUUCCGAUUUAUCACAGAGAUGUCAAGUCAACAAAUAUCUUGUUGGAUGAGAAGCACCGCUCAAAGGUAUCAGAUUUUGGGAUUUCGAGGUCCGUUGCUAUUGAUGAUACUCACCUGACGACGAUAGUGCAAGGAACAGUUGGAUAUGUAGACCCGGAGUACCUCCAGUCAAGCCACUUCACAGGGAAGAGUGACGUCUACAGCUUUGGCGUUGUGCUCAUUGAGCUUUUAACCGGAGGAAAACCUGUCUCUGUACUGAGGCCACAAGAAGUAAGGAUGUUGGGAGCUUACUUCCUCGAAGCCAUGAGGAAUGAGAGACUUCAUGAGAUUCUCGAUGCUCGCAUCAAGGAGGAAUGUGAUCAAGUGGAAGUACUUGCAGUAGCCAAACUAGCGAGAAGGUGUUUGAGCUUGAACUCAGAGCAUCGCCCUACCAUGAGAGAAGUCUUCAUAGAGCUGGAUAGGAUGCAAUCCAAGGGAAAUGGCGCUCAAAGCCUAGCAGAAAAUGGUGAAGAGCACACACACAUCCAGAUAGCAAUACCAGAGUCUAUGUCACUCAGUUACUCUUCUCCGUGUACAGUCUUACCGGACUCAAAACCACUCAUGACUCACAAUACACAGUGACUGGAAUAACCUUCAAGGUCUUAUUACUCGUGCGAAUGUACUCCAUAAGUUUAUCCAAUAGUUCCUGUAUGUAAUUUAUAAGACUUCAUGUAGCAAAAUCAAGGAAAUAAGCGAAGAAAACCUUUGUAUAAGUCUUGACUUAUAUCUUUCACGUGUUUGGUCUAUACACAUGACACACCUCUGUGUAAGAGAAAAAGAAACAUAACAAAAUAUUGCUUGCUAACGCUCAAUGUAUUUAAAUGAACUCUUAUUUACAAGUCCAAGUUCAAUUCCAAAACUGUAACGCACUAAUGGCCUGACCAUCCUCUGGCAGCAUCUCAUAGCAUGACAUACUAAACUCACUUCACAUAAAACUGUAGAAGCCAUUUACCCGGAAGGCCAGAACAUAAAUGCAGUAUAUGUUGAAAUCUCAUGCAGCCCUUAUAAACAACUGUUGCCAAGCACACAGUUAGCAGUUGCUCUAAGUGCCCCUGCGCUGAGUAUUACGCCAGAAGCUUCAACUUUGACAAUCAACGGGACCAAAGUCUGGGUUCACGGAGGAUCAUACUCAGACAUUCCAUGUUAUAAGCCAGCUACAAGACAAAGAAGAAUUAUCAAAGAGUGUUAAUACCUUUGUAGAAAUACAUGCAACCAUAAUAGACUGCACACUAUAUGCCUAUAAAUAAAAGUGAAAUGCUACUGUGAAAAGAUUCUAUCACCUUGGUUAGGGAGGAGAAUGUUCUUCCAAGGAUACACAACCAGUAAUGGACCCACCGGCUGGAAAACACAUCGGUUUGGUCUCUCUCCAAUUCAGAGGUCUAUCUAAAGGAUUACACACCCUCACAACGGGCAAUCUCACAAUGUCAAAUCUCCCAACCCCUGAUUCUUCCCAUUUAAGUACCUUACCUCCUAUAACAUAGAGCUCAUCUCUCAGAGCUGCAAACCCGUAUCCAAAGGCCUCUAACUCUCUCGGAUGGUCAGGAAGAACAACAGAAGGCACCGAGCCAACGUUAUACCAUUCUCCUUCAUCUGUAUCCCUAGUUUUGAUCAAGCUUUCUCCCCAAUCUACAAUCGUGUACAGUCGAUCGUUUUUCAUCACCUGAACAGCAAACUGCAUGGCUCUAGAGAAAGGCCAGAUAUCCUCCAAAGUGGACCAGCUCAUCUCUGAUGGAUUAAAGACUUCAGAUGAAUUUUGCUCUGCAAAUCCCACCUGAUCACUCAGAACAUGAAAGGACCCUCUGUAUGAUAAUCCAGAGCAGUCCAUCUGUGGUCUAGUCAUUGCUGGUAACUCCUGCCACCUGCAAUAAUGCUAUGUUAGACCCUAAAUGAAUCGAUAUUUCUUGAACAAUUUUUUUUUGAAAUGAGUCUAGGCGUUCAAAAACUCGGUCUAGGCAACCAUAUAAUCAAUAAUCCUCUAUAAAUGCCGCCUAACGAUGAACAUUGAUAUAUUCUAUGAGAAAAUGAACCAAAUGAGUGGAGAAAAAUACCUAUCAGCCACAGGAUCAUAAACCUCAGCAGAUGUAAUCCCUCCAGAUUGAGUUAGAUUACGACCUCCAGCGACAUAAACCUUGCCAGAGACAGCAGUACAAGCGAAGUGAGUCCGUGGCGUUAGCAUACCAGCAACCAAUCUCCACUCUUUCUUAAACGGGUCAAACCGCAUGACAUCUCUAGUAACCACAGGCUUCUGAUGUGGAAACGACGACACAGAAGGCGCAUAGCAACCACCAAUCACAAGAAAACAACUCGAAACGCAAACACAAGCGAAACCAGAGUGAUGCCAGCCAUCUUGAAAGGCUCUAGCUCUAGGCAACGGAUGCCAACGGUUAGCUUCGGGGUCGUAAGCGACCCAUUGGUUGUUAGAGCGUUCUGUUAGAACAAACAGCCAGGUCCCUGACCAUCCGUUUUUGGCUUUGUAGCGGGAGUAAUCGGGACUGCGAAGUAAGUCUCUCCACCCUCGGGAGACACACUCGAGGGCUCCGUGAUAGCCGUGAGAAAGCUUCGCGAUGCAUCUUAAAGAUAAGUCAUCAGGCAAACCUGCGAUGAUAGAUUGUUCUUCUGUGGACUCCCUGAAAAUAAGUAUCACAUAACGGUUUUGGAUCAAGGAGAUAAAAGGUAAGGGAUCUAACUUUAAUAAUUAGAGAGCUAACUUACAUGAUUUGAGAUUUAAGGGAUUGUAAAAUGUAUUUCGUGAUCCCCUUCUCGAACUUGCUUUAGAACAUCAACGUUACCCUUGAAAGUCGACAGAUUUUUUCCGGAAUCAAACGCUGUUUACAAUACCUAACGAAUAAACGAAGCAGAAGCUACAAUCAAGACUGAUCUAUUCAAGGUGGAAGUGGAACCAAGCACACUCGGACAGGGACAGCAAACUCAGAUUCUGAAAAACGAAACAAAGACCAGAGAGACAGAUUUUAUUAUUACAAUGAGUUUGAAAAAUUCCAUAAAUUACUUAUUUGGUCCUUAACUUAUGUAUGUUUUCUAUAUUGUAACCACCUACUUUCAUGAAUCGAUUAUCAAUCCUAACAUUCAAACGCCGUCGUUUUACCUCCGCUUAAUUAAAAAACUGUCGUUUCGUGAGAGAGCUUUCACGGUGUUUCGGCGACCAAAUACAUUACGUGAUAUACGAUCUCCGUGAAAGGUACGAAGAGCGCUCCUGAAAAUUUAUUCUUGGUAAGCAAUUCGAUUCUCUUUAUGUCUCUGAAAUACUCAAAUCGUACCUUAUCAUUCUGGUUUUUUUUUAUUUUUUCAUAUUAUGAUCUAUGCGGCUGAUCAUGAUCAGAUCGUCUGAUUAGCAAUUUAGCCAUCUCGUAUUCACACAGUGAAAGUUAUUUCCAGCCAAAGUCUGCGUUUUUAUUCGCAGUCAAAUUCAGUUUGCUCUAGAUAAAAAAUCCAUGCUUGGAACUUUUUGUUUGAUGAUUGCUUUAGAAAGUGAUUGGUGUUGGCUUUAUUACAGUAAUCAAGUCAAUGGCGUCUUCUUCGGAUUCAUGGAUGAGAGAAUACAACGAGGCUUUAAAACUCGCUGAGGAUAUCAACGGCAUGAUGAUAUCUGAGAGGAGUAAAUCUGCUGUCACAGGGCCUGAUGCUCAGCGUCGUGCUUCAGCUAUACGUAGAAAGAUCACCAUUUUCGGAACACGGUUAGAUAGUCUGCAGUCUCUUCUUGCCAAAAUCCAUGGGAAGCCUAUGUAAGUUCAUUAAGCUUAAUCUGAUUGCUCCUUUACAAACCAGUUAAAGAGUUGUAAAGUGUUCAUCUUUUUGACCUGUUGCAGUUCAGAGAAAGAGAUGAACAGGCGUAAGGAUAUGAUUGGGAACUUGAGAUCGCAGGCAAAUCAGAUGGCGAAUACUUUGAACAUGUCGAACUUUGCUAAUAGAGACAGCUUGCUUGGGUCAGAGAUAAAGCCAGAUGACACCUUGAGCAGAGUCAGUAGCAUGGAUAACCAAGGGAUUGUUGGGUUUCAACGACAAGUUAUGAGAGGUAAAAGCUGUUUUUAAUCCUUAUUACACGGAUGUUGAGUUUUGUGUUAGUUUCUCUACGGAGUUUUUUUUUUUUUUUUCUUUUUUUUUGUGCGAGUUAGAACAAGAUGAAGGACUUGAGAAGUUGGAGGAAACAGUGAUGAGUACUAAACACAUUGCUCUAGCUGUCAAUGAGGAGCUUGGCUUGCAGACUAGGCUUAUCGUAUGUUGUCAUCCGCUUUUCAUUGGUUUUUGACUGCCUUGAUUUGGGUUUCAUUGUUGUAACGAAGCUGGGUUGUAUGCAGGAUGACUUAGACUACCAUGUGGAGGUUACUGACUCUCGCUUACGGGUAAUAUAUACUACCAACUCCCCAAAUAUUUCAGGAAAAAUAUUAUUGGGAAUCAUGAGCAGAAGUGAAUUGAUUUCCUGAUUCUAAGCUAAUAACUUAUAUAGGCAUUGAUCUGUUCUCUGUGUGUGUUGUUUGUUAAUACAGAGAGUGCAGAAGAACCUUGCUGUCAUGAACAAGAAUAUGAGAAGCGGUUGUUCUUGUAUGUCAAUGCUCUUGUCAAUGCUUGGGAUCGUUGGUCUUGCUGUUGUAAUAUGGCUGCUAGUUAAGUAUUUGUAAUCUCAACAUUACAGAACGUAUAAGUUUCUCUCUUAGUUGACUUGCCACCUGUGUGAAUGGUAUCAGUAGGUGAUUCGACAUUUGUGCUUGUCCUUUUCGUUCCUCUUCUUUUGUGAGAACCCUUGAAAUAAUAUUAUAUCAUGUAGGCAGUUUUCACAACUGUUGUCUUCAUUAAGAUUUAAAGAACUGGUAGCAAAUAACACGCAGACAUAAGCAUGUUUGUAUCUUUAAAGAAGAAACUCGUCUGAAUUCACAAAUAAGAUAUGACCAUCUGAGAUUCUGAGCAGAGAAAGAAUGAAGGGUUCAGAUGAAAGAGGCUAGCACAAAACUUUUCAUUAUGGUCUGAUUUGGUUAAAAGGCUGUUUUGUUUUCUUGUGGGAACUCAGUCUUCAAAAUCUGCCGAGUUCUCUAGCAGAUAGUUUGCAGCCAAUUCCUCGUUACGGUCACACGCAAGGAAGGCUUCUAUGACCAAUGCUCUAUCAAAUCCCAUUGCCUCAAGCUGAUCAAAAAAGAGAGGCAAAGAGUUAGAAUAGAUGAGAAAAUGAUAUUUCAGGUUGUUAUAAAGGUGAUGAUGAACGUAUGCAUCUAUGUGUGUACCCGUUGAAUCGCUUCUUGCUCUGCAGGGGUAACAUUGACUGCAUGGGGCAUUUCUUGCUCGGGUUGGUCAAGAAUAUCCAUUUCCCUGAGAGUUUUGCACAACCAAUAAGAGACAUUCAGUCAUGGUUCACAUAUAGACGCGACUUGCUUUAAUCAUACACAGAUUUAGCGAUUCAACCAGUGGGCCAGACCAAGAAAACGAUAUACAGACUAUAGAGUGUACUCACCCAUCAGAGCCUUCGUAGGGUUCGUUGAUUAACUGAAGAAAUUCGGCUUGGUUCUCUUGAAUGAGCCUCAGAAGUUGGGGGUUCUGCUUUCCAAGCUCUUGAAGCAUAGGCUGUAACAGAAAGAGAGAUGAGAUGUUCACAAAGGAAUAAAAAAGGUCAUGCAGGCUACUAGUUUCUGGAACCAAAAGCACUACAGAGAAAGGCAAAGGCUAGGUUACCUGCAGAAUCUGGGGGUUGGAAUUGACCAUUGAUCGUAAUUGUUGGAACUAAAACAAAAUGAAUAUACAACAAGAUUAGUGUUAUGAGGAAGCUGCAUCAAAUGAUUAAAGCAAAUAUCAUAUAGGAGUAGGCUAGAAUCCACGUCCCUGAAGGUGAUGAAACAGGCUUCUAACAAAUCAUUCUAUUUGAUCUCACAGACGAAAAGAGGGGGUAAGGAUAGAACGACAACCUGAUCAUUGCCUCUGAGGAAAUCAAGCGUUCCAAGUUCUCCAGCACCAGCUUCUGCUUCCUAGAAUAAUACAAAAAUUCACGGGAACUCAACUACAAUAAACUCUUUUCGACGCACAAAAAUACUAAGCUCUUACUUGAGGAAACAAAUCCAAAGGAGAUGAAUUAGGUCCUCCAGAGGCAGGAGGAGCAGCAAGGUCUGCACCAGUUCCUACUCCCGAUAUUUGAACAGUUUCUCUUUCAGGAAUCCCCUGAAAAAUAAAACAAAUUUCCGCAGUUACAUUCCCUUAUAACAUCCACAGGACACUGAUAGAGAGAAGGACAUACAGAGUAUAAAUAAUCCACUGCUCUCUCAGGGUUGUUAUAAGCUGCACGAAGUGCACGAGUAACUGUUUCUUUGUCCCAGCUUCCUCCCCCCAUUUCCAUUAUUUGUUGAACCAUCUGCUCAGUACUACUGCCACUAGCUAAAGUUGAAGCAGCCUGAGCAUUGGUGUCACUUUGUCCCCUACACAUUUUUAAAGGUCAUAGAGUUAUCGUAAAAUCCUCAAAAUACAAAAUUCAAGUCUGUUAUGUCAAGAAUAAAACUUACGCUGGUUGUUCUUGGGCAAGAGUGGAAUUUGAAGCUGGCACAGGUAUAGACUGGUUUGUCGACGCAGCUGCAGGCUGGUUUAUAGGCACAAGUGUGUGUUAAAUGAAUCCAGAUGAUGAUUACAAUAACAACUAAAGAAGAAGGGGGCUGUUAAGAAAAUUACCAUAGCUGAAGAUGUGGUAGAUGUUGUCAUGGAAGUAGGCUGUGAGAUAGGAACAAAAAUUUCCAGUGAGAACGCUGGACUGAUCAAGUGAUGGGCAACAACAAGAGAAAAUAAGAAACACACUUACCUGAGCCGACGAUGGACCAGCUGAACUUGCAGUUUUGCUCUAUCAAUUGCAAAAGAAAAGUAAAGUACUUUAUGUAAUUUUCAGUAAGAGGAAAGAAUAAUAAUGCAUGGAUCUACCUAAGCUAGCACACAUGUUAUUCAGCUGUCAUCCUUUAAACAGAAUGCAAAAGAUUCGAACCAAUAAAAAAAGAGAACCUAAGCAAAAAACAAAAUUGAUAACAAAAUAAAGUAAGUACCUUGCUCAGCAUGACAACAAGAAAGCCUUCCUCGGUAACCUUGUUCUCCACCAAAGUAGUUUCAUCCUUCAAAACCUUCCCAUUGUGAAUCAACAACUGCUGUCCACAUGGAUAGUUGUCUUUGCUCUGCGAAUCCUCAAUAUUCUUUUUCACCGCCAUUAUCUUUCAAAAACCAAACACACAAACAUAAGAACACAUACACUCCACUCAACAAGACCAAUCGAGAAACUUAAAAUUCUGAAUCUAGCUCUUCGUCGUUUAUUUUACAAUAAAUUGGUACUGCAGCACGGAGAUUUAGCGACUAGCGUCUCUUUAUUACAAAACCUAUCUAAAGUUACCGACUUCGUAUAAAAAAUUACACGUAGCAGAUCUGAACGAAGGAGACAAAUGACUGACCGUGUCGGUGGGCAGAACCCUGAUUUCGAAAUGGCUACCCUUGAGAGUCUUGACGGUUAGCUUCAUGUCGAUGGAUUGAACCAGGCGGCGUCGGGAAAGUCCGGCGAGGGAGCGAGAUUACAGAGUGAGACCUAAAAGAGCGUUCUUUCCAACUACUCUCUGCCAGAAAAAAAACAGUCGCAAUCAACCGAGCGUUUCGGAUUUUAAAACGCGGCAAGUGCAACCCACGUGCGAUUCGCUGCAAGAUGCUUCCAAAUCCACGCGCAUCGCACGUGACACACGCACUAACCUAUACAAAUAUCUCUCGUAUUUUCCUUUUUUCAUUUUUCUUUCAUUUUCCCAGUAAUAUUUAGUUACAAAAAAUAUCAAAUUUCCGUGAAAACAAAAUGCGAAAUCCAAGAUAGAAUUUUUUAAUUAGUUAUUUAAGGGGUUGUCAUAAAAAAAAAAUACUAUUUCAGUGAACUCCUAACUAAUUUAUUUUACAAAAUAAUUUUAUUAUUUUUGAGUAUUUGCUAUUUCAAGUCAAACUGAAAUAUUCAUAUUUAUAUUUAUUUUACAAAUGGACCAACAAAGGCCAAGCGUGAGAUAACAGCAACACACGGGACUCUAUUUUAUAGUCGAUUGAUGAUAAAUCAUUUUUUACAAAUUCAAGAUUCAUGAAAAGUUUUUCAGAAUCUUUGGUUGGAUUUAUUAAGCUCAGAAGUCACGGUCAGGGAAGAGAAUCGGAGCAACAAGUGACCAGAUGAAGAGACCAGCAGUGGCCCAGCUGGUCACAACACGAACCCACACAGACGGCCACCCGACAUCAACCAGUUUACCACUUUCACCCACCGAAGUUGACCAACCAGUUAAGAGCAUUGCAGAGUACAUGCUCGCGAGGGAGAAGAUGAUGUGGAAGAAUGCGUAUGAGUAUGUCACUGGCUUCUUCUGCUCUUUCUCUUCCUUCUCUUCUGCUUUCCCGUCUAGUGGUAGCAGAGGCUUCUCUGAACAUUUUUAACAAUAGCAAAACCCGUUAAAAUACUUGCCAAGCAACUUCAGCACUCAAACAAGAUUUUUUUUUGUGUGGAAACAUACCUGCACGGGGAGAAUCAGGAGAGGAGAGAAGUGUGGUGGAAGAACCUGCACGAACCGCAGAAUAAACGACAGAGAGAACAGUUGUGAGCAACCCAAUGGUCAUGGUGCCUGUUGAAACAGCUUUGGAAUGUUUGUGGAGACCAUUGCAUUCGUAAUCUCGGGGCUCACUAGCAAGACCACUGUAACAGAGGUACAUGCAGUAGAAAGAUAUAACUGAUGCUGGUAAAAUGCUUCCACCGACCUGCAAAACAAAGGUUCAUUUGACUUCAUUGAGGUCUAAAAGAUGACAUCAACAAGAAACUAAAGGUUUUAAAAGUCAAAAACUUACAGCGGGAUGCAAAACCACAACAGCAAAGACGAAUACAAAUAUCAAAGUCAUGACAAUGAAGAAAGUGUUGAGCCCACAAUCGUGUCCAGAUGGAGUAAACCAAUGGAAGAGAAGUCCAGAGAAGACGAAUGUUGCUAAGUAGCAUACAAGCGAAACAACGAGUAACGCAGCAUACCUAUUUACAAAAACCUAGAUUAGCAGUGGCAUAAUUAAAUUAAGUCAAAUGAUUGAAAACAUUUUCUACUAACCAGAACUGCUCGUCGUAGCCAACCCAUGUGUCAUUCCAUCCAUGAACGAAAUCCAGAAGAAGCACAACUUGAACCAGAAGGAAAAAUCCAGCACCAAACUUUGACAUUGACUCUGAAACAAAGAUAGUAAAUUGAUUCUCAUUAGUUCCAAGUUAAUCACUUCAUCAGGAGCAUAUAAAGGAGAUAUGAUGGCACUUUACCAUAAAAGCUGAUGACUUCAUUAGGAACGAAGAACAUUAAUAUAACCAAAAUGAACCAGCAGAUGACUUUCAUCAUCCAACCACCGUGGUGUAUACCAUCACGAGGGUCUUUCUGAGUCUUCACACCAAUCAUCAUUACCGAUAAAAUCGAGAAAAACACGAAGUUCCCUAAGCUGACACGCAAGACAGCAUCAGUCUCAAACCAUUCCCGAUCAGGUGUCUUGUGAAAAUGGUUAAUCCCUACACAAAAAUGUCAAUGAUUAGCUCACUUUGAAGGGGGGGAAUAAACAAUACAAGGGCAUAAGAAAGGGAAAAACUUACAAGGGAGCUUCUCCAUGAGAGGAGCAGCAACCUCACGGAGAAUCCAUGAAACGAUUAAAGAAAGUGCAAAGAGACCGCAGUAAGCGAUCCUUGCGGAACGUCUGCUGAUACUAGAAACAACAGUGCGGCAAGCAUCGCAUGCACAAGCAGCACAGCACGACGCGAGACAAGAAGCUGCCCACAUCUUUUAUUUUUCCCUCCUUCUCGAAGAUCAAAGGGUUGAUUUCAAAUAUAGAGCUGCUAGUAUGAGAAGAAACACACAAAUACAUAUCAUCAAACAACCUUCUUCUUCUCCAUCUAAUCAUUAUCAACAAAAUCCCUAAUCUUCAAAUAAGGUGACUUUUUCCACCAAAUUGGAGACGGAAUCAAAAUUGAAAUUCUAAACUUUACCCAAAGAAACUAGCUUUAGAGAUCGGAUUUGAGCUGUGCAAGAAAAAGGCAUAAGCCCUAAAAUCGAAUCAAAAUACCUUUGGAUAACGAUCGAUCAAACCUUGAGAGCUUUUCCUCUCCUUGAAAAGUAUAACAACCUCGGUGUUCCUUAUGGUUCUCGCUGCUAACAAGGACUUGGUAUUAAUCAACGACGCCAAUGUGAUCACUUUUCAUAAUAAAAGCCCAUUAAUGGCCCAAGGCUUUUUAAAAAAUAUUUUUUUUUCUUAUAAAAGGAGUGGAAGCUAAACACGAAUAAUCGUUUUUUUCCUCUUCUUUUUUCCUUUUGUUUUUUUGUAAAUAAAAUCCCUAAAUUUCCGUCGAAUGUAACGGAAUUAAUAAACCGCGUACGGCGUCAUCCGGCUAAUCGCCCCCCCCCCCCCCCGGAAGGAUUUGCCCGGCUUGGUUAUCACGGGCUUGGGCUUGCACGUGUACAUCGAUCCGCGCAUGUUCUCACAAAUGCCUUCUUUACAGACACCGGGUUCUUUGCACAUAUCAGCUUCUACACAACCCCCUCGAAGGUACGGAUUCCCUGUGAAGCCCACCCCCGGCUCGAGCCAUUCAAGCUAGGGAGGAGAUUCAUCUCUUCAAUACGAUAUAGGAAACGUUUCCGGAGAAUCAUCGUCUAGCUACGGACUCAUUUCGUGGUGGUCGGAUUCGGCGUGUCGACGGACAGCAGCUUUUUUUUUUUUUAAUCUUCUUCUCCACCUCUUCCUCUUUCACCGGUUCGUUUUUAGAAGCCUUCACCUACUUUUGAUCCUAUUUCCUCAGCUAUUGCCACGAUAUUCUGAUUGUGUAAUCCUUAGAUUUUGAUCGCCUCAUUUCCUCGAAUCACUCUUUAUCCAAAUGUUCAUUGACGACCGCUCGUUGUUUUGAUCGAUGCGAUGGAUCCAAGCUUGGUUUGUUGUACCUUUGACGCUAAUUCAAAAGACUAAUCUCGUUUCGAAAUUGGUUAAUCUCCUGGCGAGAUAGAUCAUAGAUUUGAAUACGUUGCUCUAUAAAUGGCUUAUGAUUGAGAAUCUGAUUGGAUCUUCUCUGUCAUUGUGUCAAUAUUGCAGGUCUGGUUAUCAAAGCCAUGGCUCUUGAUGGGAUUGUUGUAUCUUCACCAUCGAGGAGAACGCAGUCUCUAAAGAGGCAGUGGGAAGAUUUGGGCAGCUGCUCCACGGUUAUCAAGAGGCAUCGAUAUCUCUUAACAGCUUUGGUGCUUUUGGCCUUUCUCUGCACUGUUUAUCUAUACUUUGCUGUCACUCUAGGCGCUAGGCACUUGUCGUGCUCUGGCUUGACCGGUAAAGAGAAGGCAAUGUGUCAAUUACAACAUGUCCAGGCUCUCUCCAAAGGGAAGCUGAAAGUUUUCUAGAGUGUGUCAUCGAGAGCCAAAGCUGAGAAAGCGCAACAUGAUUGCUCUCUUGCCCUACUACAUUCUUUUUUUUUUUUUGUGAUUCUAUUGUGACAUUUGUGUGUAUUAUAUUAUUACUUUGUGAAAAUACCAGAGAUUUAUAAUCGAAACAUAAUUCAUUUUUGUUCAUUAAUGAAAAAUUAAAGGAAGUUUCUUACAGGUUUCUUACACUUAUUGACCUUAGUGUUCCCCAAUGACUAUGUUUUCUUGAUUUGCAUGGCUUGAGAAGCCUUCAUGAUCUUCUUCAUUGUUUAUGAAAUGUAGUUUUAGAUCUUCAGGUGAUGAACGGAUCCUCUCCAGCUCAAUCGAAACCUCUCUCAUGUUUGGCCGCUUCCUUCCUUUCCGGCUUAGACACCUUCCAGCGAGUUCUGCGACUGCCAUCACUUGGUCCAGCUUGCUUUCCUCUUUGAUCCGAUCAUCAAUGAUGUCGACCACUCUGUUUUCUUUCAUGGCCUCAAUGAAAUAAGUUGCUAAGCUCUUUCCUUCUUCAGACCGGACACGAGACAGUGGUUUUUCUCCGGUUAUGAGCUCCACCAAGACAACCCCGAAGCUGUAUACAUCACUCUUGUCAGUAUAUUGGCUUGAUAGGAAGUACUCUGGAUCCAUAUAUCCGAAAGUGCCUGCAACUAGCGUUGUCAAGUGAGUUUGAUCUACUGUUACCGAUCUUGAAGUUCCGAAAUCAGAAACCUUGGCUCGGUAUUUCUCAUCCAAUAGUAUAUUAGUAGUCUUGAUAUCUCUGUGGUAUAUUGGAAACGAUGAAGCUGAGUGCAUGUAUGCAAGUGCUCCAGCAAUCUCCACGGCUAUGCCAAGACGCACUUCCCAAGUCGUGUUGUAAUCAUCAGAUUCAUCAUGAAGACGCUUGAACAGAUCUCCAUUGGGAAUAUAUUCGUAAACCAAAACCGGAACUUCUGUCUCCAAGCAACAUCCCAAUAGUUUCACAAUGUUCCUGUGGUUUACCUGUGAGAGAAGGACGACCUCAUUGAUGAAACUAUCCAGCUUAUCUUCAUCCACAAGUUUUGACUUUUUAACCGCAACGAUCCUGCCAUCCACCAGCAUUCCUUUGUACACAGUUCCUUGACCGCCUUGCCCAAGCACCCUCUUCACGCUGAAGUUAUCAGUGGCUUUCUCCAAUUCUUUUGAGCUAAAUAUCCUCGACAUAUCUACAUUUCCAUCAUCUGUAGUAGUUAGUUGUUGUUUCAACAACAAGCCUCCAUUACGUUUGAAGAACUUCCUCCCACGAAUGAUCCUCCUUCGCUUCCUUAUAAGUAUGAACAACCAAAAGAUCCCACCAACUAAAAACAUUAGUCCCAACACACCAAUUAGAACCCCUGCAGCAUAAAAGGAAACACAUAAGUAACACUACUUUCUCUUCAGCCUUGUAAUCUACAAGAUGCAUUGGAACUCACCUCCAAGCAGGAAGGAUUUGCCCGGCUUGGUUAUCACGGGCUUGGGCUUGCACGUGUACAUCGAUCCGCGCAUGUUCUCACAAAUGCCUUCUUUACAGACACCGGGUUCUUUGCACAUAUCAGCUUCUACACAACCCCCUCGAAGGUACGGAUUCCCUGUGAAGCCAAUGGGGCAAUAGCAGUUCCUAUAACUCAUCUCGUUAAAGUAACCAUACUCACAAAGACAUCUCGUAUCAGAGUCGUAAGAGCCGUAAUGGGUCCAAUUUCUGCAACCUAAGGGGUUGUUUCUAAACUGAGAAUCCGAAGUAUCAAAGUACCAGCCGAGCUCCACCUCCGCGUAGCCACCAGCGUGGAACUGUUCUGGUGCAGUGACAUUUGAGGGUGAGUAUCUUUUGUCAUUCAAGAAGGCAACUCUGCAGCCUUCUCCUCCUGUGGGAUCUAUAUCCACACCUAUGACUUGUGGACGGUCCAGUGGUAUCCUUGUCUGGCAGCAUUUGUAGCCGUCACAGAUUGAGUCUGUUACUUGUUGACCACUCUUGCUUUCUAUACAGCUCGAUUCACAACCCAAGAUCUCUGAGUCGAUACCCGUCAUCAAGGCCUUUGUACCGCAGCCAACCGCCACAAGGCGGUUGUUAUCUGUGAUGAAGUAAGGGCUGCCUUUGCCUGUGACGUUCAAAUCUGGUCGGGACUUUUUGAGUCCUUGACUAGUGUUACUAGAACAAUCCAAAGAAGUCACAGGACCUUUGAUGAGAACCACUCCGUAUGGUUUAUCUCCAUCUGGAAGAGAGAUGUUGACCACUUCAGUAUUGAUCCGUGAGAGGAACGGAACGGUUGUUCGGGAAGUGGUGGCGUUGCAGACAACCUCGUACCAGUUGUUGAGAUAGCAAUCCUUGCCGCCGAUUCCAAAAGGGAACGGGAUCGAGACUCCUCCACAUGUUUUGUUACAAGAAGUUGGAGAGUUACCAUUUUGAGAUGUUGCUGCUGAUGAGCCAUUGAUGAGCAAAGUAAGGGCAGAUGCUAGAAUACAUAUGAAGUUGUAAGUCUUUCUCUUCAUAAUUCCUUUUUUUUUUGUUUCUUGAUUUGAUCAAUCUCAGUAUUCAAGAACCAAUAAGUUUAGAAAGAAGUGUGAAGGAAUGUACAAAGCAUUCAAAAACAGGUCAACAUGCCAUGAGGGCUUAUAUAAUGAAUUAAUAACAGAAGGUUGGAUUAUAAGAAUCCAGUCUUUAUUCUCCCUACCAUAUGAAAGUACUCAAAGUAGACCGAACCUAUUAUAUACAUUUGACCAUCGUCACCAUGUUCAUUCAGGAUACAAAACAACGUUGACCAGUAAAAUGUUAACUAAAAAGUCAAUGUAUACAUGACCAGUCAAAUGUAAUCAAGGUAGUGGCCAUGGCCGUCACAUGGAUAAUGAAUUGAUAACGUGAAUACUCCAUAAUGCUUAAUGCAACAUGAAAAUAAAUAUGUGUGCGUUAUUACAUAAAUCAAAUUUUUUUUUUCAUCAUGAGGGUUUUAUUAUACAUUUGUAGUGUUUUUAAGUCGAUGAUCAUCACCAUGUACGUAGAGGAACCAGAGGCUCAGCAUCAGACGUUGGAGAUGCACUACUAAAGAUGGAAGCUGGAGCAGUCACCUCAAAGUCCCAACUCUCAUCAACGUUAAGUUGCAUGGUUUCAUCCUCUUCGUCAUCGUCUUCCUCAAUAUGAACCUCUGAAUCAUGAGUUGCUGAACGAAUCUUCUCCAGCUCAAUCCAAGCCUCUUUCAUGUUUGGCCUCUUCUUCCCUUUUCGGUUUAAACAUCUCCUAGCUAGUUUCGCCACUGCCAUCACUUGGUCCAGAUUGCUUUCAUCUUUGAUCCGAACGUCAACUAUGUUCAGAACUUUGUUCUCUUUCACGGUGUUGACAAAAUGAGCUGCAAAGCCUCUGUUGUCAUCAGACAAGACACGUGAGGACGGCUUAUCUCCGGUCAAAAGCUCCACAAGGACGAUUCCGAAACUAUAAACAUCACUUUUCUCUGUAAACUUGCUCGAUUGAAAAUACUCUGGAUCCACAUAUCCAAAAGUACCAGCAACCUGAGUCGUCAAGUGAGUUUGAUCUAUGGUUACGGAUCUCGAAGUUCCAAAAUCCGACACCUUAACUCUGUAUUUCUCAUCUAAUAGUAUAUUAGUAGUCUUGAUAUCUCUAUGAUAUAUAGGGAAAGAUGCAGCAGAGUGCAAGUACGACAAAGCUCCUGCAAUAUCUACAGAAAUGUGAAGACGCACUUCCCAAGUCAUCUUGAAAUCAUCAGACUCAUCACGAAGACGCUUGCAUAAGUCUCCAUUUGGAAGAAACUCAUAGACCAAGAUCGGAACUUCCGUCUCAAGACAACAUCCCAAGAGUUUCACAAUGUUUCUGUGGUUGAUUUGUGCGAGAACAACGACUUCAUUGAUGAACUCCUCUACCUUGUCUUCAUCCAUGGCUUUUGAUCUCUUCACUGCCACGAUUGUGCCGUCAACUAGCAUACCCUUGUACACAGUCCCCUGACCUCCUUGCCCAAGAAUACGAUUCUUGUUAAAGUUAUCAGUAGCUUUCUCCAACUCGUUCGAGCUAAAUAUCCUGGACAUCUCUACAUUUCCUUCUUUUCUAGCUAACUGUUGUUUCAACAACAUGCCUCCAUUACGUCUGAAGAACUUCCUCAUUCGGUUAAUCCUCCUCCUCUUCUUAACAUACUUAUACAACCCGAAAACUCCAAUGGCGAAAAGCAAUAGUGCCGAACCUAUAAGAACACCUAUACCAACAACAAAAUACUAAAAUGUAAAGAAACAAAACGCUCAAGAAUAGUAACUCAAGUUGACUGUUACCUUGAAUCACUGGCUUGAGUUGUUCUGGUUUCCUGGGCUCACAUUCAAACCAACCGGGCCUGUUCACGCAACUUUGGUCUUUACACUUUUUGCGUCCUUCUUCUAGUUUACAUUCAUCAAUGUCUGCAUAUUUUGUACAUAGUUAGCAACAAUCUUAUUGAUCACACAAAAUAGGAUAAGAUUUUAAAAAAAAAACACCAAUAUCUUACCUACACAACCACCUGGAAGGAAUGGGUUCCCUGUGUAACCCAUAGAGUUACAAUAGCAGUUUCUAUAGCUGAAUCCAUAGAAGUAGCCGUACGAGCAAAUGCAACUCGUUUCGCUCGAGUAGCCGCCAUUUUGUGAUGGAUCUGACACAUUCAGACAACCAACAGGGUUUGGAACACGUGUAUCAGAAGUAUCAAAGUACCAUCCUAGCUCGACCACCGCGUACCCAUCACUAUGAAACUGUUCUGGCUCUGUAACAUUCACGCUAGAAUACUUCUCGCUUGUAAGAAAAGCAACAUUGCAUCCUCCUUCUCUUGUGUUGUUGUUACCUUCAGGGAUCUCCAAAUCAACUCCUAGAACUUGCGGCUCCCCUUCUGGUAUCCUUGUCUGACAACACUUGUCACCACUGCAAAUCUUGUUUCUGACUUCUUGGCUACUAUUUCUUUCGUUACAGGUUGAUUUGCAACCGAUGAUCUGCGAUUUGAUAUCCGUCAUAACCGCCUUGGCAUUGCAACCAACCGCCACGAGUUGGUUCUUGUCCGUGAAGAAAUAAGGGCUGCCUUGGCCGGUGGCACUCAAAGGCGGCGGUGUAAGCGGCUGAGAUGAUCCUGUAGAACAACCAGAGGAAGUCACGGGACCUUUGAUGUGAACAACUCCAUAAGAAUAGUACACGUGAUCGUCUGGAAGAUAGAUGUUCACCAAUUCUCUGUUGAUCCUUGAGAGAACCGGAACAGAGUUGCUUUUACAGACAGCCUCGUACCACGGGUUUAGAUAGCAGUCUUUCCCUUCACCAAACGGAAAUGGAAUUGAUAGUCCUCCGCAGACUCUGUUACACGGAUCUGGAGGUUUUCUUGAUGAUGAGACGCCAUUGAUGAACAGAGAGGUCACUAGUAUAAUAACAACUAGGAGGCUGUGAGUCUUUGUCAUCAUACUGAUUAUGUUCUUGUGUUUCUCUACUUGGUCUGAUCUUCUAAAAAUCUUCUAGUAUUGUGAAAAUGGAAGGGAGAAAAGGAAUCAAGAUUCAGCAUUGUCGGAGGAGAUGAGAUUACAUGAAAUGCGUGGAGAGAGAUGCAAAAAAAGAGUUGACCGGAUUAGUAUGAUUAACCAUGCUAAAAUGGCAAUGAUAUGGCUAGUUGAUAGAUCACGUGGACUUUCUUAGUUUUGGACCAAUCAAAACCAGCAUGAAAGUCAAAUAUCUAAGUUGAAUUUAUAUCCGAGUAAUAAAUAAAAUACCAGUCGACAAAAUAUCAAAUAAUAAGGCGACGUGGCAAACGGUAGAUGACGUGGAUGUUGUGUAGAUCCCAUUUUUUAGAAAGAUCCUUAUCUGGCCCUGGCCCACAUGAAUGAGAGUGAGAGAUGGAUCAUUGUGGCUAGCGCGACAGAACCAAAAAAAAAAAACAAAAGUUGUGGCACGCAUUAUAAAACUUAGUUACUAUAACUCUAGCAACGUGUUGAAUCAUCUUUAACCGGUUCAAAUCAGUUGAUUAAUUAUCUUGAUCUCCAUGGCUUGGUCCUCUUCAUUGUCGGUAUUUAUAUGACCCUCUAAAUCCUCAUGUGAUAAACGGAUCCUCUCCAGCUCAAUUGAAACCUCUCUCAUGUUUGGCCGCUUCCUACCUUUUCGGCUUAGACACCUUCGAGCUAGUUUUGCGACUGCCAUCACUUGGUCCAGCUUGCUUUCCUCUUUGAUCCGAUCAUCAACGAUGUCAAACACUCUGUUUUCUUUAAUGGCCUCAAGAAAAUCAGCUGCCAAUCCUCUUCCUUCUUCAGACCGGACACGAGUCAAUGGUUUUUCUCCGGUUAUGAGCUCCACAAGUACAACCCCAAAACUAUAAACAUCGCUCUUGUCAGUAUAUUGGCUCGACAAGAAGUAUUCUGGAUCCAUGUACCCAAAAGUGCCUGCAACUAGUGUUGUCAAGUGAGUUUGAUCUACUGUUACCGAUCUCGAAGUUCCAAAAUCAGACACCUUGGCUCUGUACUUCUCGUCCAACAGUAUAUUGGUAGUCUUGAUAUCUCUAUGGUAUAUCGGAAACGAUGAAGCUGAGUGCAUGUAUGAAAGUGCUCCCGCUAUCUCUAUAGCUAUGCGAAGAUGCACUUCCCAAGUCAUGUUGUAAUCAUCUGAUUCAUCAUGAAGACGCUGGUACAGAUCUCCAUUGGGAAUAUAUUCGUAAACCAGGAUCGGAACUUCUGUCUCCAAGCAACAUCCCAAGAGUUUCACAAUGUUUCUGUGGUUUAUCUGUGAGAGAAGUGCGACUUCGUUGAUGAACUCUUGCAUCUUGUCUUCGUCCACAAGUUUCGAUCUUUUAACCGCAACGAUCCUCCCAUCCACCAGCAUUCCUUUGUACACUGUGCCCUGACCUCCUUUCCCAAGGACUCUGUUCACGCUGAAGUUAUCCGUGGCUUUCUUCAAUUCCUUUGAGCUAAAGAUCCUCGACAUUUCUACAUUCCCCUCCUUAGUGGUGGUUAGUUGCUGUUUCAACAGCAAGCCUCCGUUACGUUUAAAGAACUUCUUGCUGCGGAUGAUCUUCCUUCGCUUUUUCACGAGUUUGUACAGCCCCAAGACUCCGAGGACGAACAACAACACUCCUAGACCUAUAAGAACACCUACACCAACGAAGAAAGUAAACUACUUGUAGUAGUCUCGUAGAUGCUUACUUUAACUUACCUUGAAGUACAGAGGUCUUUUGAGGCUUGGUUACUUUGGGAUCACAGCUAUAUGAUCCAGGCCAGUUCACACAAGUCCUUUCUCCACAACUGUUGUGUCCUUUGCAUUCAUCUAUGUCUACACACAUAGUAAUUAAUGACUUGAUCAAUGGUCAAAGCAUGAAAAAAAAGUUAAGAAGAAACGUUCACUUUUACCUAUGCAGCCAUGUUUAACGUAUGGGUUCCCUGUGUAGCCAUUAUUGCAAUAACAGUUCCUAUAACUCAUCCCAGAGAAGUACUGAUACUCGCAACCGCAUUUAUCAAAGGACGUGUAAGAACUGAAACGAGUCAUAUUUCUACAACCUAAGGGACUCCUAAAGCAAGAAUCCGAAGUACCAAAGUACCAUCCUAGCUCUACCAACGCAUACCCCAACGAAUGAAACUGUUCUGGCGCUGUUACAUUCUUCGGCGAGUACCUCUGGUUAGUCAAGAAGGCAACUCUGCACCCUUCUCCUCCUGUGACAUCUAUAUUCACACCUAUGACUUGUGGACGUUCUAAUGGUAUCCUUGCCUGACAACAUCUGUAACCAUCGCAGACCGAGUUUGUUACUUGCUGACUACGUUUACUGUCUUGGCAGCUCGAUUCACAACCUAUCAUCUCUGAUUCUAUAUCUGUAAGAGACGCCUUGGCACCGCAACCAACCGCCACCAGACGGUUUUGGUCGGUGAGAAAAUAUGGACUGCCUCUUCCCGUGACAUUCAAACCUGGCGUUGACUUUAUCAGUCCUUGACUAGAGCAGCCCAAAGAAGUCACGGGACCUUUGAUGUGAACCACUCCGUAUGGUUUAUUACCGUCUGGGAGAGAGAUGUUCACCACUUCGGUUUUGAUCCGUGAGAGGAACGGUACGGUGGUGUUACAGACAACCUCGUACCAGUUGUUGAGAUAGCAGUCUUUCUCGCCUAUUCCGAAAGGGAACGGUAUCGAGAUUCCUCCACAGGUUCUAAUGCAGGAAGUUGAAGAGUUACCUUCUGGACGUGGAGGUGGUGGUGUUGCUGCUGAGGAUGAGCCAGUGAUGAGCUGCAGAGUUAGGACAUAAACUACAGUACAUAGAAAGUUGUAAGAAGCUGUCUUCAUACUUGUUUUUGAUUCCAAUGGAUAUUUUUUUAAUGUAAAUAAAGAGAUCUUUGAGAUAUCCUAAUUAAUAAGAAGUCCACUAACGCAUUCAAAGAAGUUUGAAUAUAGACGCGUGAAGUGUUUUCAACCAGAAAAAAAAAGUCAACUCCGUUUGGCCCUCUUUCAUUUCAAUCAUUGUCUUUCUGCAGACCGUUGACUUUUCCACUUAAUGUGUAUUCCCACCGGUGUUCGAAAAUUAGACGGAAGGUCUUUAAGAAACCGGUGAAAACGCUAACCAAACUGAUUCUUCAGUCUAGGAAUAUCCCAUGAACACUAUGGUCUAUGGUCUAUGGUCUAUGGUCUAUGGUCUUGUGUUGAGUGUUAUCCAAGUAUGUGAUUCUAGCUUCACAAUCGCGGCUUUGCUCGUGGGUGCCCAAAUAAAACAGCGCAACGUUCGUUACUAAAACGUCAAGUUGUCUGAGUACUGUUAUUACCUAUCAGCAAGGAGCUCCAAUUUAGGUUAGCAUUUAGUAAUAGACACCGUAGUCACCAAGCCCGUCUAGCUCAGUUGGUAGAGCGCAAGGCUCUUAACCUUGUGGUCGUGGGUUCGAGCCCCACGGUGGGCGUAUUGUCUUUUUUUUAAUGUCAGCCAAUUGCGUUUUUUCCCCUAACCUUGUCGGUUUUUCCCCACGGUGGGUGAUGUUGGAGGAUGAAUCGGCUACAAGAACGCUCCAAGAAUCUCGAACAAUCAUCUCUAAUGGUGUCAUCAUCGUCUCCUCGUUAUAAACCUGGACCUGUGAGUCUCGAAUCCUCUCCUGUUCCAUAGAGACUUCCCUCAUAUCAUAUUAGGCCGUUUCUUACCGUUCCAGUUCAGACACCUCCUCGUAAGGUUUGCCACACCAGUGACUUGUUCCAUGUUGCAGCUAUCUUUGAUUCGGGCAUGGAUAAUGUCUAAGAGCUUAGUUUCUUGCGUCGCAAGAAUAAAAUAAGUUGCUAAAAUUCUAUUCUUUUCAGACCUCAAGUGGGAAACUGGUUUUUCUUCAGUGAUGAACUCCACGAGCACGACUCGAAGCUGUAAACAUCGCUCUUGUCCGUAAACUGGCUAGACUGGAAAUACUUUGGAUCCACAUGCUGAUGAAAACCUCUCCCUCUUGUGCUGUAGGAACCACGUCCACGUCCUCUUCGACCACCACGACCUCGAGAGGAGUAGUAGUUGCCUUGCUGAUUUGUACGGACAGUCGGAAAGGCCAGAUGAGGGGUGACUUCUUGACCACUGUUGUAACCUUGAAGUCUAUCAUCGAAUGCUACCAGACGCGGAAAGAUAGAUUCAAACGUUGGAUGUGGAACAAUAUCUAUAGAGCCUUCAUAGUCACGUCCCAAACCUCGAAGAGCCGAGAAGAUCUUCAUGGCUUCCGUCAUAGGAGCACCAAUAGAGGCAAGUUGAUCACUCAGAGAUUUGACCUCUUGAAGAAAGUCGAACAUCUUCUUUCCACCUUUUGACAAAGUUUGCAUCUUGUGUUGAAGUUCGAACAGGCGAGAGUUGGAGGGUCUGUUGAAGUGAGUCUCCAGCGUGGACCAGAUCUCACUUGCUGUUGUGCAGUUCACCACCAUGGAUUGAAGAGUAUUUGUGAUAGAUCCAAGAAGCCAUGACUGAACAACUUGGUCGGUUUGAAACCACAGCUCAUGGUCAGGGUUUGGAACCGGGGUAGAUGUGCCAUGAAUGGUUGGAGCCAUGAUGGUGGUAACUGGUUGUGGGAUGGUACCGGUGACAAAGCCAAACAGCCGUUGACCGCUAAGAAAAGACUGAAACUGACGUUUCCAAAAGAAGAAGUUUUGCUCAUUGAGCUUUACGUUAACGCAGUGGAUAAUAUUUAAGCGAGGAGGGUCAUAAGGCUCAAGAUCCAUGGUGGAACCGUGUGCUCUGAUACCAUGAACGCGUGAGCUAACAAAGAUAGGUUUAUGAACUUUCUUUUAUUACUUUGAACCUUAAGUCUCUUACAAUGAUUACAAUUGCUUUAUAUAGAGAACUUAGACUAGGGUUUUGCUCUUAGGCUACUUCGUCCCCUAGUGCUGCAUAACGGUUUUGGACUAAGACAACAUGUGCUUGACCAGCUGGCUUGUCCUGUUGCUUUUGCUUUCCGUAUUUACCAACUUGAUCUUUAACUUUGUACUUUGUUUUGUCUUGUUUGCAGGUAGAAGACCGUUGAGAAGAAGAUUGCAAUUUGGACUUCUCCAAACUGGGCUGUGAUUCUUGUCUGAACUGGUAAAUGGGCUUCGCUGAAACUGAGCUUGAGCCACUUGUGAUGAUACCACAUACCCAACAGUACCUGCAUACCCAACAGUACCUGCAACCAGGGCUGUGAGAUGUGACUCUAACCUAGUAAUAGUUCUGACCCCAACAAUUUCAAUCGUGCUAGUAAUAGUUCUGACCCCAACAAUUUCAAUCGUGCUAAAUAUGACCAAUAAUUGAUUUUCUUUGAUGGGACAAGAAGCAGAAGUAUUAAUUCAAUGAAUCAGAUCAAAAGUCUGGACUCAGGAUUCAUUUAUACAAAGGGUGACCCGUUUCUUAAGUGAAUCCAUCUUUAUUUUGACUUCUUCAUGCGUGUACAACAGAGUCACACUAGUUUUAAAUCAUCUACUUACAAAAUAUUACUCAUAUCCAUAAGAACUCACAAACAGCACAGGCUCUUGCUCUAUAUCACUUUAAGCUCUCUCAGCCAUUCGGUGUGGAGCGGACAAGGAUCAGGUUUCCCUUCUGCAUUCGCUUUCUCUGAGAGCGAAUAAAACCAACCAUUCCUCCAUUUAAACUGCAGUAAUCAACAAAAACUAGAUGAGAUAUAUACUGGUGCACACAUAUCCAACGAGAGAGCAUACAUACUUCUUUAACAGCGGUCGGGAAAUGAGCAACAGCUCGAGAAUAAGCGCACAGUCUCUCCACCAUAUCCUCUUCAAAGGUCAGUCCUUUCUCUGCAGAUGCAGCAGCUGCAAGUUCUUGGAUCAGUCUUGACACCUGGAUGCAAUAUGUUAAAUCAGAACCAAACCCUGAUUUUUGAAUGCUUAAAACGAAACCAAGGAGUAGAAAGCUUCCGUACUUCAUCUCUGUACUCGUUCUCCACCGUGCCCACACUUGCUCCUGGGUGACGAGCUCCAACAAGCAUAAAGGCGCAAAUCCAAAUGAGUUUCUCCAACAUCUGCUUCUGAAACGAUUCUUUGUCAAGAACCUAAACCAAAGAGAACACCAUUUAGAUGAUCAUGUUUAUACAUUGUAGAAGAAGACAAGAAGGUUUUGCUUCAUGUAACCUUGCAAGAGAGGCCACCAGAUUGCAACCUUGCAGCUACAGCAGAAGCCCAUUUUCCAUAAGCAGCAGUUAAACCUUCAGGGUUAGUGUCAGUCUUUCCAUCAACGGGAGGCUCACCAAGCUUUGACACAGCGAAAUAAGCCAACACUUGGUCUGUAUCAACCAAACCUUUGCUCUCAAACCAAGGCUCCAUCAUUCCAUUUUGGAAGAACACCAAAUCUGAUUAAUUAAACACACAUAACAGUUUAGUACUUAGUUUUGGAGUUUUCACAUAUUUUUAGAAAUUUUUUUAUAAUACCGAGAUAACCUUAUUUUAGUACAUAAUUUACACAAAAAAUUAUUAUAUAUAAUAAUUCGCUUAAUUAAUAUGAACAAAAUAGAUAAACUAGCUAUAAAAUUACAUUAAAAACAGAAAAACUAAUAUAUAUAUAUUUUUUUGGUAAUCAAAUAUUUUAUGAAACAAAUAAAAAUUUCAGAACUAUUAUUUUCUUGGGAACGGAAAGAGUAAAUAACAAAGUCAUGAAGCUGAGAGUAAAGUUUAAACCUUUCCAUCUAGACUGAGGAGUAGCUUCAAGAACAGCAUCAAGAUCAUCAUUCCUCGUACAAACGAAAAUGGGUCCUUCGAAAUCAACAGGAACUGGUUCUCCUCUCUUCACCAACAAGUCAUCGCCACUACCCAUCUCCUGCAACGCUCUUCGACUCUCCCGUCGCCUACGAUCACAGCAGGAGCCACCUUUUUAGCGGUGGAAGCAGAGGAGGCCAUAGCCACUGGCACGACGAGUUUAAGAGAUUCAGAGCGACGGGGGAGAGAGAGGCGAGUGGGAAUGGAGGAGGAGAGAGCAAACAGAGUGGUGCUGGCGUUAGCCAUUGGCGAUGAUAAUGAGCUUUUCUGACAAAUGUUGUCGGCCUCUCUCUCCCAUGGUUUACGUAAAGAGCGAUGGUUUAUUAGCCACUCGAUGUUUUGAUAGCUUAUCUCGGCUUUGGAUGACUCACGGAUCCAAAACGGCAUGACGUUCAGUUUGAUAAAAGAGCAAACAGUAAGUAGUUGAGAGAUGAUGCGUAAACCGGUUGAACCGGUCCAAAUCCGCAUCAACAAAAUGUGACAAAACCGAAUUUGUACCAAACCAAUCAUCACAAUCGAAUUUUCGAACAUAGUUCCUUGCGAUUGUAUCUCUUUAUAGGUCCAGCAAGUAAGCAAACUACCAGUUGAUUGGCUUGAGAAAAAGGAAAAAGUUCAAAACCUAUCCUCAAGGAUACCACACUACAACAAAGUAAGUCUCAAGUUAUACAGAGCCCUAUCAUUUGCAUUUAACCACAUAAUAUCGUUUGAAUUUAAUCUCUCAAGUCUGCCAUCAUUCACUUAAAGAAUUUUGCAAUUCCGAAACACAUGCUUGAUUCUAUAUGGAAAAUAGUGUAACUUCUGUUCUAGCUAACAAAAACAUUGCCCUAUUGUUACUUCUCAAUCUAGCAAUCAAGUCAGAAACAAAACGAGACACAUCCUGCAUGUCCAGACACCAUCAGUCUCUUCUAGGCUACCUUCAAAUGCUUGUCUUUCCUGAAGAAAAACAUCGCACACAAGGAGACAAUUUGUCCAACAAUGUAGCCUCCUAUAGCUCCAUAACACACACAUAUAGGCCACUCCUGUUUAGAUGAGCAACAAUAGAACGAUUAAUUCUCCACCAUCAUAAACCAAGAACAGCUCUAUUGGAUGUAUAUCGGGAAAAAAAGAACUAGUACCUGCCAUGGCCUUUCCCAGUCGAGCGGCAUGGGCCAAGCUCCAAACCAUCCUCCAAUAAUUGUUCCAUAAGCUGGAAUAAAGAUCAUAUAUUCUACAUUUCCACUUGGUCUAUACGAGACAAAAAAAAUAACACGAAUUAGGAACAGAAAUUAAUGUGAAGAAUGUAAAAAGGGUAAAAUAUAUAAGUUACUUCAUCGAAGCGAAUAGACGAUGCCAAUCUGUCCAUGAUGCACCAAAAACUGCAGUGGCUGGUACAAACUAUGAAAUUCAAAAUUAUUAGAGACAAUCAAAGGUUUGUUCCAAACUGCAGACAUCUAUAUACAUAUGCGCAGUAUCAACAUCAUUGCUUCUUUUAAAGUCAUAGGAAAUGCAGCAGCAGCAGCAGCAGCAGAGAGGCAGCUUACCGUGAAAACAGACAUCAGAAAGGACCAGUGAACUGUUCUUGGUAGAUAUCUGCAUGUGAUGAGAGGCGAAUGAUCAUGUCAGCAUUAGCUCUAUAUCUAGAAGGGUGAUCACAAUCAAAGGAGUCUAAUUUGUAACCGAAAAAGGAAACAAGAUGGUGGUGAAAACAUACUGCAUUCCAAUAGGUGCACCCAAAGAAAUUGCUCCCAAAGCAUUCAGAAAAGCCCCUGUUAAUAAAAACAAAAAAAACAAAGCCUUGAAGAACUCACAAGUCACAGUUAAGGGAUGAUGCUGAAAACAGCAGAUUCCGAUCCUUCUUAGAUUUGACUAACAAGAAAAGCUAACACAUAUUGCCAGAGUUUGAUUGCUUAUGUUCAUGUAUUAUUGCAAAAGAAUAAAGAAGUACUAACUAUAAUAAGUUUCAAAGAAGAAAAAAAAUACUAACCACAAAUAAGUCCUAAUAUGCUUCGUCCAUAGGCUCUAAAACACUGGAAAGCAAUUAGGAAACCAUUAAGAGAGAGUAACUUAAGCACAAGAAACCCAAACGCAUUGGUGCCUUUUCUUCUCAAUGCAAAAGGAAACAUACUUCUUCAGCUUCUGUAAUUUCAAAGUGAAACAUUAUAAUAAAAGAAACCAUCUUUCAGUAGAAAUGAAGUAUACUCACCGAACAUUUCUCUGGGGCUUUCCGGAGAAAGCUGUAGAUGAUUACCACAACCGGAAACUCAAUACUCUGAGAAUUAACAUCAACAACAAGGCUACAUUAACUUUAAAAAAUCAAUUUGAAAACAUGUGAAGUGGAGUACAGUACCCAGAGGAGAAAGAGAGUGAGAGAUGGAUCGGAGACGAGAUCGACGGAGAAUUUGUUUCGAGCCACCCAGAAUCCAACGGCCAGAAACAAUCCAGUAAUCAAAUAAACAAAAAACGCCCCCAGAGCUGAUAUCGAAAGGUCGUUAGAUACACCAACGGAGGUAUCUAACUUCUUCUUAGCUUCCUUCAUGGCUUUCGCUUCUCUCUUCUUCGGGAUCAGGACGAGUGAAGAGGAAGACGUAGAAAACUGUUUGGGCCUCUUGAUUUACAUAUGUGCUUUAAUGUAAAACUAAUGGGCCUCUUGGGCCUACAUAGCCUGAUAAAUAUAUCUGAAACAUUUUUUUUUUUUUUUUUUUUUAAAUUGUAAAUAUCAUUAGUUAAAAUGAGCAGUUUGUCUCUACAAUGGAAAGACUUUUACAUACAUCCUUCUUGGCAAAAAUUAAAUAAAAAACAAGAAAGGGAGUAGUUAUAGGCGGUUGAGAAGAGUCGUUCAUCUGAUCCAAAGCGCCAUGAGGUUGUUGAAGUUGCGUUUGUUGCGCCGAGCGGUGGUCGUGUUCCUCACAUCUCUGUCCAAUAAUUUGAAUGUUUCGGCUGAAGAGAGAUGGGUAUUGUUAUGGAGAAAAUUAUUCCUCUGUCUCCAUACGUGGUAUACAAGAACGUGGGUGACUAGUCUUCGCAGGGUAGAUGGCGCUGAUGGCGAUUGGACUCUACACCAAGAGAGCAGCUCAGCCCAAGAUAUGAACGGUGGCUGUCGAGGGGAGAGCCUUGCGAAGACUGCAGCCCAAAGGUACACAGCAAACCUGCAGUUCAAAAGGAGAUGGUCCCCGGCUUCAUCUGCGGAGUUGCAUAGACUGCAUGUAGUGGUGAUGUUCAGACCCCAAGAAGCCAGGCGAGUUUUUGUCGGGAGCCUGUUGAGUGUAGUGAGCCACAUAUUAAAAGCUUGCUUGGGAACAGCACCUUUGAACCAGACUGUUGGUGCCCAUGCUUUAGUUGAUUCUCGAGGCCUGAUCGCCUCCCAAGUUUGAGAGGAGGAGUACCCAUUGCAGAUCGAACCAUUUACUUUCCAGUUGUAGGAGUCGUUUGUGUCUGUGCUCCUCGGGGGAGAGACAGAUGUGAGGGCAAUGUGAAGUUGGAGAGCCUUUUCUGAUCUAGCGUGAGGGAGAUCCCAAGAUGUUACAUUAGACACAUCAGCAACCUUUGCGUUCAAGGGAAUUCCGAGUUCGCUGGGGCCACCUUCUCCAAACAGUUCUACCAGCGGACCAGUUGGUAGCCAUGAGUCAAACCAGAAACUGAGUACGCGGCCAUUACCUAGAUUUCCAUGGAUAAAGCGUGAAGCUAUAAGGGCGGAGAUUAAGGAGCGUUUUCCAGGUCCAAGAAUGGGUGUUAGAUUGGGCUAUAGUCCAGAAGUUCCUUUGGCUAAGAUGGUGACGUUUAUGCCAUGCUGCCCAUAGUGAGUCCGAGUUCGAGAAAAGAAGCCAGAUGAAACGAAGGCACAGCACUUUAUUCCAAAUGGCGUAGUUUCUCAGCCCCAAACCCCCUUCAGCUUUAGGUAAACAAACCACAUUCCAGUUUACCUUAGCCCCUUUCGCUAAUUCGAUUUGUCCAGACCACAAGAACCUUGAGCAGAGGCGUUCAAUCUUCUUAACACAACCUUUGGGGAGCAUGAAUGUUGAGCACCAAAAGUUGACUGAACCAGAGAUUACAGUGGAUAUGAGAAGCAAUCUGCCUGCAUAUGACAAUGUUUUAGUCGCCCAUCUUCUGAAUUUUCUGACAAUACUAUCCAGCAGCGGUUCAUAUUCUGAUAUUCUCAGUUUACGAUGCAUAAGAGGUAAACCGAGAUAUCUGAUAGGUAGUGAACCAAUGGGAAAUCCAAAGGCUGCAAUUGCGGUGGAUUUGACUUGGUUCAGACCAGCGUGAAACAACUCCGUUUUGUGUCUGUUCAUAUACAGACCGGACCAACUUGCAAAGUCGUCUAGCGUUUCAGUAAUUCCAUGGAGUGAGUUGCUUGUUCCAUCAAAAAAUAUCAUCACAUCGUCCGCAAACAUUAAGUGUGAGAUAUUGAGCUCAGCGGUACCUGGAUGAUAAUUUAUAGAGCCGUUCUCAAAUCUAGAGGUAAGUAACCGGGUGAAGACCUCCAUUGCGAGGACGAACAGGUAUGGAGACAGCGGGUCUCCCUGCCGCAGCCCUUUUGAGCUUUUGAAGAACCCUGAGCUGCAACCAUUAAUCGCUAGCGUGAAAGAAGCUGUGGAGAGGCAUUGAUUAAUCCAAUUGAUGAACUUCUCCGGAAUCCCCAGGGUCUCCAAUGCAGCGAGUAUGAAAUCCCAUCUCACUGAGUCAAAGGCUUUACGUAAGUCCACCUUUAGCAUUCCUCGAGGACUGAUGUUUGAUCUGUUGUAGCCCUGAAUUAUUUCGGUAGCGAGGAGCACAUUCUCAGAGAGUAAGCGCCCUGGCAUGAAAGCUGAUUGAGAUGGGGAGAUGACCUGAUUAAGCACAUCACAUAGUCUUUUGGCCAGUAGUUUAGCUAUUACUUUGUAAACUGUGUUAAGACAGGCUAUGGGCCUGAAGUCCACUGCUUAAGUAGUUGGGAUCUUGGGAAUCAGCACGAGGGUGGUGGCGUUCCACUGCUUAAGUAGCUGACCAGAAGAGAAAAAUUCUGCUACUGCCUCACAAACCUCCGCUCCAACAAUAUUCCAGCAACCUGUGAAGAACUCAGCUGAGUAUCCGUCGGGACCACAAGUUUUAUUAUGCGGGAGAGAGAAGAAAGCUUCCUUGAUUUCUACUGCAGAGAAAGGCCUUUCGAGGGCAGAAGCUUGAGUUGAUGAGCAUCUGAAGGGUAGGAGCAGAUCAAUGUCGCUCUGCACAAACAUUUUCGGUAAGACCUCUCCACCAAGGAGGUUUGAGAAAUACUCCACACAAAUAUUGUUGAUGUCUUCUUGAUUUUCCCAUUUUACAUCUUGAUCAUCCAAGAGAAAGUGAAUGUGAUUAGCUGAUUUCCUCAAGGACAUCAUCCAGUGAUAGAACGAAGUGCUGCUAUCUCCUACUUUCAACCAUGUAACUCGGGACCUCUGAUAUAUCUGAAACAUUGCGAGUGCGUUUGAGGAAGGAGCAAGUGUGAGCGAGGACCAAAGACAACGAACCUUUGAGGUCAAAGGCAUUCCUCCUGCUCCACUUGGAGCUCCUCAAAUCAAUGUUUCUGCUUUUACAUUGAUGCGGAUUGGGAUCUUAAACGUGUCGGAUGAGGACAAUGAUACAGAUAAAGAGAUGAGGCGUGACGUGGAAGGCAAGUUACAAGGGAACGAGUAAACGAGGGACACGUGUAUAGUUCGUUAUAACGGUUGUAACGGUAAAAGAGUAUAUAACUCUGUUACUGCAUCACUUUUGGGAUUAUCGAAAUUGUAAGUAAGUUUUCUUCUUGAUUCUUGUAACUCUUCUGAGAGAUUCUUUGUUCAUGAAGUUUUAGAUUCUUUCUUCAAUCCAGAAUCUAUACUCUUGAGCUGCAAGCUAUUGUUUUUACGAACGGUAGUUUGAUCAAUAGAGAGAACAUACGUUAUCUCUAUCAGUGGUAUCAGAGACCGCUGGCGUGAAGAACAAGAUCACGAUCACGAAUGAUAAGGGAAGGUUGAGUAAAGAGGAGAUAGAGAAGAUGGUGCAAGAUGCUGAGAAAGUGUAAGGCGGAGGAUGAGCAAGUGAAAGAAGAGAGUGGAGGCCAAGAACUCGCUGGAGAGCUAUGCUUACAACAUGAGGAACACUGUUAAGGAUGAGAAACUUGCGCAGAAGGUGGGAUCAAGGGGAUAAGAAGAAGAUCGAGAAGGCGAUUGAAUGGAUUGAAGGAAACCAGCUUGUGGAAGUUUAUGAGUUUUGAGUAUAAGUUGAAGGAGCUGGAGGGUGUUUGUAAUUAGAGCGGUGGAGAGUGCGCAAAGGAAAGUGGUUAUGGACGACAUGUGUUCUGGUAGUGGAACCAUUGAAAGUAAUUUAGUUGUAUGCUUCACUCAUUUCAGAAAAGUAAUAAAACAUAUUUUCUCAAAAGUUUAAUUUGCCAUUGACAAGUUUAGUUUCACACUUUUAGCAUUUGUUGCAUAAAUACUAUUCUCUUGAGAACAAGUUCAUCAAGCUAUACAGAAACAAAGCAUGUGUGUUAGCAUCGGUGAAUCUUCUUUUCUUGUUGGAUAUGUUUUGUCCAGGAAAAGCAAUAUAAGAUCUUUGGUGCGUCACCAAGAAAAGUAUCUACAAUCCUUCACUAGUUGUCUUGGUCCCACACACACACACACAUAUAUACACACUUUUGGCUUCGGAACAGUCGACCAUAUCAGCAAUGGAGAGAGGAUCUAUUGCAUUGUUCAUCAUCUUACUCUUUGUCCUCUGCUUCCCCAUCUCAUCAGAUUCCCAGAAGCUCAGUCCAUCAAUAAGCUUACACGACCAAGAACAAGCCCAUGGUGCUUAACCGCUCUAUAUUUAGCAUAUAUUGUUUUUAAUACAUUUAUUUAUGGCCAAAAGUAUUUACUCAUCUUCUGCCUGUUCCCUUGUAUGGCAGAGGUUACAAUCGAAGACAUAAAACGAGAAGAAGAUAAGAGCAUCGACAUCUUCCGGGUAGGGGUAGGAUCUCAUGGAGUUACAGGUGGAAAAGGUGGAGGCCGGAAAGCAUCUCCAAAACGUAGUGCCGCCAUGGAACUCCGGCCAAAGUUGUUCUUCUCCACCACCUCCCUUCUCUUUACCAGUUUCAUAAUGCUUUCACUAACUUCUGUCAACAUGUCGAUAUGAUCAUUAUGUUGUGCCUAAAUCUCUUAACUUGAGAGUUUAACAUAUGUUGUUUGAGUAUUGUAAACUUAGAAUUCUACCAUAUCUUAUGUGGAAUAAGAAGACAGAACACUGUGCAUGGAUACUAUCUCUCUACAAGUUAUGGCCCACGAGAGUGAUGCUUUCUUCCGCACAAAUAACGAUCUCUUUUGCAUUGAUUGAACGUGGAAUUAUUGUAACAAAUCUACAGACCAACCAUGAACAAUCUUUUUCCAUUCUGCAACUUCCCUCCCACACAACAAAAUGAACGGCUAAGAGGAGCUUUGUAUACUUGAAAUUAGAAGAAACCUCUUCCCAGAAGAAGAAGAAACAAGAUCUUUCUAGUCCAUCAAAAACGCUCCGCUGCAAUACCUGAUAAAAUUCCAGCACAUACUUUUCAGAAAAAAUAAAGAACUUGUUUCCGAGGCAGAGUAUCUAGUUAGUAAGUGCAUAUUGUUACCUGUUGCUGAAUCUUCCAACAGCGUCUGUAGCAUCAAGAAGAGUGUCACUGGCUUUCUCCAAAGCCAUGUAUAGCUCUUUACCUCUACUCACACGGGCGAUCACCCACGCGUUGUUCUUAGCUCUUAUACAAAUAUCCAAGUCCCUCUCCUGCCCUUUGGCACGGCUCUUUUCUAAAUCCACUUCUUCUCUGAGCUUGUUUAGCGCAAGCAGAGACUCCUGCGUUUUUUCGAAUAGUUAAGGUCGUCUUAAUCUCAGCUCUUAACUUAUAAUGUUGAAGACGUUACCUUUGCAAGUGUUGCUACUUUGCCUGAAGGAGAAGCUCUGGAAACUUCUAGGUCAGUAUCAACUACCAAGUAGCGGUAACCCUUAACAUGAUAAGCAUUCUCACCUCCCCACCCCCUUGAGAUCUUCUCUUCAAUUUUCAUAAUCCUCAGCGAUGCCUGUAAAAGAGAUAUUGUGUAUAUAUUAGAAAACACCAGAAACGAGUUUAGCCAAGAAAGAUCAAUGGGCGAUGUGCUAACCUGUUCAAUAACUUGCUGUUUCACGGCGCUUAAACCACCAUGGACAAUGUCAGUUUUAGGCAAGAGAAGAAGUGAAGUGAGACUUUUAUACUGAUAAGCGAGGAGAUACACUCUUUAGUCUGCUGAAGCCAGACUGUAGGAUUAGCAGAAUCAGGUGAACCACCACUCUCUAAACCCCAAAUAUCAGUUAUAAGAAAACCAUCUUUCCCUUUUUUCCACUUAUCAUUUUGUAGUGGCCUAAUAACAUGAUGCAUGGAAUCAAUUGAACCAAUGGGCGCCGAAGUAGAUCUAGAAGAGGUUUCAGAUGAACCAGUCCCCUUACGUAGAUGAGACCAGGAACUGGCGUCAGAGGAUAGUAGAGCUUGUGAGGUCAACCUCAUUACAGCAAAUGUAAACAAGUUGACGGUAUCAUCAGGCGAGAGAGUUGUUGAAACCAACAGAUCUUGAAAUAAGAUCAUAGAGUGGCAUCGUAAGUUCGCAGCACAUGAUUCUAGUACUUGAACAAGAGACUGCACAUCCAAAAAAAUGCUCGUCAGAUACAAAAAUAAUAAAGUGAUUAAAGCUUAAUAGAUAUGGAGAAACAAACCUGAACUUCAAGUGCAGUGUCCCUUGAUAAAGUAAGCAUUUGAACAGUUCCACGCUCACUCAAAGUAGUUUCACGGAAAUUUGGUAGCUGAAGAUUCUUCCCAACAAAAAGAUCUGCCCGAAAGAGAAAACCUUUGCAUAAGCUAUUUUACACACGAAGAACCAACUUGAGCAUAAUGCGGUUUUGCGCAAGAAUCAAAAGCAAGGGCAUUGGACACAGCAACUUCAAAGCAUUUUUACCACAGCAGCAGUCUUCCGAGCGAGACCGCUUUUGAAAUGCUGACAUUUAGUGACACAAAGUGAAAUGAAGCUGGGAAGCAGAACAAAAACUUAAUGUACUAAAUUUGGGUGAGAGUUGCUUACUGCUUAAGUAGUCUGUAAUGAAGGGAUACAACUGUGCUCGGGUAAGCCCUCCUGUUGAUUCUUUUUCAAGUAAUGCUCUAACUGACCCGUGGAACAUCACAAAGAGUGAGUGCACUUCUUUAAGCAUUCCCCUAAGUGCUUCAAUCCUCCAUAUUGCUCCUGUAUCCUUGUUUUUCUCCACAACCUGUCAAUGUCUCUAGAUCAGAUUUUGUUCAUUGACUAAAGACUACAUUCGACGAAUCACUCAUUCAAAGAUAAAAGAGUGUCUUACCAUCACCAUCCAGAUAUCAGGUUCAGGCUCGUAGAAAACAUGAGAAUGUCUUUCUGCUUCUAUAACCUCACAAGCUGCCUCCGGGGAGAAAAGUCUGCAUUCAUACUCACAAGAUUCAUACAGACUCAUAUCAACUAAUGCGAAACAAAUCAAGAAGAGAGUAUGUAGAAGCUGACCUAGUAAAAGUGAUAAGACCUUCGCUGAGGCCGGUAACUGAUAGCUGCGUAGAGACGUCUAGCUCAGGUGGAUGAAAGAAGAGAAUCUUGUCAAGCUCCUGACCUUCGGUUUGGCCUCUCCUCAAAUCAAAGACGCAAAGUCGAAGGCUUUCAUCACCAGAGCUCAUCGACGCCAUUUCCCCGUAAGCUUCUGCGAGCUCAUUAACACUAUACCAUACAAUUCAAGGUAAGGCACAUUGGUGAUUCAAACCACUUGACAAACCCCCAAGAGAAGAAUCGUAACACGAAUUGACUACCUUGAAGAUGUUACCAAAGAAGAAAGUCGGAGUAGUGAUCAAUUGCGAUAGUCAAAGCGAUGGGAGGGAGAUUCUGAUAAAGGAAAGAGUUGACUUUUUGUAAAGAAGAUAAAUGCGAGAAGGAGAUAGAAAGAAGUUGGAUAGAGAAAAGAUGAUUGAUUAAAGGUGAGGAGGAAGAUUAAGCAGAUUCGAGAGACGCUGUCUACUCUCUACAAUGGUGUUUCAAGUUUACCUAGCCAAAAUGAAAGAGACAAGAGUCCAACUAAGCCCAAACAACCCCUCUAAGCCCAAAUAAGCGUUGUUUUUAGAGAUACGCGGUUAAAAAAAAAAGAGUUAGCGGUGAAUUUGAUUGGAAACUACAGUAAAUUAGGUUAGCAUUCCGGUUAAAAACUGUCAGAACCAGUCGAUCUCGACUGACUUUCCCCCGACCACAUUAAUUAUUUCCCAAGGGUCCAAGAUAGACUAGAUUUUAAUCAAUAACAUUUUUGAUUAAUUUUUUUAAUUUAAAAGACUAAUUUGUUUUGUCUGAGUUUUAAUAUUUGUGUUUGACAUCUAUAAUUGAGAGUAAUUUAUUUUGACGUCUCAUAGUAACGUGCGUUCAAAUUUUAGGUUCAUAUCGGUUCGAGUUUAAGUUUUCAAAUUGUUAGGCUUGGGGUUUUCGGACCCAUUUAGAAACCAUACUUUUUUCGGAUUGUUCAGGUAAUGUUGGGUUCGAGUCAUGUUUUUAUAUUUUCAUAGAACCCAAAGUGAACCUAGUUAAAAGUAUGUGUAGUUAAUUAUAAGUAAUUUUUUGAAAUUAAUUAACCGAAUAAACGUUGAACAAAUUCAAAUUGUUUCCAAAUUAUUUCCCAAGGGUUUAAGAGAGAUUGUAAAACUAGGCCUCUAUAAAGGCCCAUUAACUUUAAUGGUAUUUAAUUAACCUUAUUGAUAAAUUAAAAAAAAUAAUUUUCUUUGAAUUUUUUUAAAAAUCUACUAAAACAUAUAAUAAAGGAAAUAUAAUACAAUAUUAUUAUUAUCAACUCGCAAAAAAGAAACAAAACUAAAAAAAAAAUUAGGUGGUAGAAAUAGAAACAACAGUCUUGGGUGAUAGCAAAACUAAAAAUAGAAGAAGAAAUUUAUAAAAGGGUAACAAUAGAGACAUGGUAGCAGUUUAAGAAGGCAACAAUAGACAAGACACUUUAGACAAACCAUAAAAUAGCCAUCAUCACCAAUUUGUGUUCAUUGUGAAUUCCCGUAUGUGUAGAAUAUGUUUCCCCAAGCAUAGGUAUCAAAUCCGGUGAUCAACUAUGUGAUUGCUCGAUUUUCUUUUCCAUUCAAUUAUACAUUCAUUCCAUCAUGAUUAUUUAUAUCGCACAAGUUAUGAAAUUAUUUUAUUAAUGAGUUUACAAUUGACAAUUUGUAUAAUACUAUUUAAAAUAAUGCAAGUUAUAUCGUGAAUUGUUAGUUGUUAAUAUAAUAAUUUAUUAUUUUAUUAUUAAAAACAAUAGAUUCGUUUCGUAAAAGUAUCACAAAUUAAGAAAUAGUAAAAAGUAAUAAUAUUUUUUUUUUUAAUUUACAAUUAAUUAAAUAAAAUAGUUUAUAUAAAAAUGUAUUGAUUAUUUGAAAGAGCAAAUAAAAAAUUAAUAUGUGAAUUUACAUUAAAAUAUAAAAUGAUAGUUUUGAAACAAAACAAACAGAUCUAAAAUAAUACACUUUGUGAAAAGAAAAAGAGAGGAGUAUUUGGUUCUUAAUAAAUUUUAGUAUAGUACGUGUCUGGUUAAUUAAAACUUCUUUGUCUUGACAUACACGAGCAGACAUUCCUAAUCUAAUAAGCAUUAAUUAUUUUGCUUAAACAAUUAAGUUUACAGUAAUCAAACCCCAUCUUAUUGUCAGGUCGAGAAAAGAAAAAAACGAUGACGUGUUAAGCGGUGACUAGUGAACAACCUUUUCUUCUUCAUUUGAUUCGUUUCGUCCUCGAUGAGAAAAGCUCCUCUUCACUAUUCCAAGUUGAUUUUCAUCGCUUUCUCAUUGUUUAUAUCUCUGCUUUUUCCCGUGAACACUGUAAGCUAGAAGAUUCUUGAGACUCUGGGGAUUUAAAAGUUUCAUUUAGCUGUUAAUGUAUCUGUAAAGAGGAGAACUUUCGAUGCUAACCUCUCUCUAAAUCGAUUUUGGAAAUAGCAAGUUUUGUACUUUCAGUGUUAGAUCUGUGAAUAAUCGGAGUCAAUGUCGGAUCCACCUCGAUUCCGAUCGGUUCUUGGUCCAACCGGGAACAAGCUGCAGAGGAAGCCUCCGGGUAUGAUGAAACUAGAGAAGAAGAAGACCAUGGAGCCAAAAGAUGAGAAAACGAAGAAACCAAAAACUCCAGCUUCACCAACGACGACUCUCAAGCAAUGCUCUUCGAUGACUGCUUCUUAUUCCUCUGAUGCGUCUUCUUCUUGCGAGUCGUUGCCUUUGAGCGUGGCGUCUUCUUCGAGUUGUAAGAAGCCUGUGAGGCGAAGUGGGUCUGUCUCCUCGGCCUCUGGUACAUUGAGAAGGAAGCAGGUUGAUGAGAAAGAAGACAAGGUUGCUGCUGCUGGUGCUAGUAAUGGUGAUUGCUUCGCUGACGGUCGAAAAAGAUGUGCUUGGAUCACGCCUAAAUCUGGUGAGUAUCUCUAUGAAUGGAUUAAGAAAGUUCUAGACUUGUUAUACUAAUUGAAUUCUACAUGACAAGAGGCUAUGUUGCUCUCUAUUUGCUUCUCUUCUGUAAUGGACUAAUAGUGUUCUUCUUUCUUUUGUUCUUGUACAGACCAAUCUUAUGUUGCUUUCCACGACGAAGAAUGGGGAGUUCCUGUUCAGGACGACAAGUACGUAGCGUCCUCAACACUAUCAUCCUUUUAUCAGAGAUGCUCUUCCUAACUAUAAGAGUCUCUAACCAUUUGGGCUAUAUACUGUGUAGGAAGCUUUUCGAGUUGCUAUGUCUCUCUGGUGCUCUAUCCGAGCUCUCUUGGACCGACAUUCUCUCCAGAAGGCCAUUACUCAGGUAAUAAAACUAACUUCUUCCUAAUAAUGACAGUAUGAGCUCUUCUGAUGUCAAGAGUUUUGUAUGAGCUCUAAUCUCAGAUUUGCUUGCUUUUGUUAAAACAGGCAAGUGUUCAUGGACUUCGAUCCAGUUGCUGUUUCAGAACUGAAUGAGAAGAAGGUAGCCGCCGCUGCCGUUUCCUUACUAUCAGAGGUCAAGAUACGUUCAAUCCUCGAUAACUCACGCUAUGUGCGCAAGGUAAUAUAUAAACCUCAGACUCUUCUGAAUUUAUAGAUAUCUUCCUGGCUGUUAAUUACUGGUUUCAUCUAUAGGUUAUAGCUGAACAUGGAUCCUUUAAGAAGUACAUGUGGAACUUUGUGAACAACAAGCCUACACAAAGCCAGUUCAGGUAUGGACGACAAGUCCCUGUGAAGACAUCAAAGGCUGAGUUUAUAAGCAAAGAUCUUGUACGCAGAGGCUUUCGCAGCGUCAGUCCAACGGUUGUUUACUCCUUCAUGCAAGCAGCUGGGCUUACAAACGACCAUCUCAUUGGCUGCUUCAGGUACCAAGACUGUUGUUGCGUAGAUGCAGAGACAACAACAACCAAAGGCUAAGAAGAAGAACGGAGAGUGAUAAAUAAAUUAAAUGUUUUUUGAGUUCCAUGUUGUUUGCUUUCAGAGAUGAUUUGACACAACGAGAUUUUGCUACCGUACCAUUAAGUGUUCCUUUUUGCCUUUGGCGUUGUAUAGAUGAUGUGUUUUGGGUGAUUGGUUUAUGCAUAUAAUAAACAUGAAGCAUUGAAAGCCUUUAUACAAAAUCAAAAUCCAUCAUACGUUUUUGGCUAAAGAUCCGAGUAAACAGAGAGCAAGACAUUUUGAAACAAAGGUUUCACAUAACCAGAGACAAUAAUUAAACAUCUGGUUUAUUUUUCUAAAACAAAGGAAACGCCAGUGGCUAAGGAUAAUACACCAGGGAAUAAGUUAUUCAAGACUCGAUCUUGAUGCCAUUUUGGCUGGAUUCUUGAGAUGUUGAAGGAGGAGGGAGAUGACCUUUCUCUUGCAAGCUCUUAACUGUGUCGUAGAGGCUUUGCUUGGUGGAUGUGAACUCUAAGCCUAAGUCCUUAAUCUUUUGAUUAGUGAACUUGUACGGCUUGGCUCUAGGGUUCUUCUCGUCCUUACACCUGAAAAAUUAACAAACAUUGUAAUUACUUAACACUCUUAUUUGUUGGUUAAUUUGUCUAAUUAAAGUUGGGCAUAAACCAAAGACUUAGCUCCAUUACAACUACCAUUUCAAAAUAAAAAUAUCUACCAACAUUUUUUUUUUUAUUGUGGCCUUGUUGGUGUAUAUUAUGGGUUUAUAAAAAGUCCACGUUAGCAGUAGGUGACGAGUGGACUUUGGACAUAUGGUGUGUGUUGUUGGUACACCAACUUCAACUUUUACCACAAACUAUAAAAAAAAAAAGAACAUGGGACCAACUCGCAUGCAUCAUUGAGUUGGUAUCAUGAUAAGAGAUAAGAUAAAGAAACAAAAGCGUACAUUAAAAAGAAAUUUUAAAAGAAUUAUAUCAUUGAUUAAGCUAUAUAAAGAUUUGCAAAGACACUGCGACACUGUCGUCAAGCUUAGCGUUACGUUAUUGUGUUGUGUUUGCUGACUAAAGUUGGUGACGACUUACUAGAUUUAUGUACACUAAUGAAUGCGAACGUGUGUCAUGUGUGCAUGUAUUUGUAUGCAAGGCUUACACGAAUAUAGAUAUAUAAUUGAAAUAGUGUUGGUUACAAAGAAUAUAACUUGAGAGUUGAGUAAGGUCAUUGUCCUAAUGGGUACACUAUUAAAAGGUUUUUACUUAAUUUAUUUUCUUCUUUUUUACUUACGCAAAACACACAUACUCAAACUCGUUGACUAAAAAUGUUAAUUUUCUGUGGUUAUAAUUCUAAAAAAGUUUUAUUCGUUUCUUUCUACUAACUCAAAUGAUGGUAUUAUAUAUAUAUUAUGGCAUUGGUUUCACUUACUUGGUUGGAAUUGGGUACUCCGGGAAUAACUUAGCCAGAAUCUCAACAACUUCACCGCGGUGAAGUGCGCUCUCCGCCAGGAGAUAGCGUCCAGAGGCUGAGGGGGCCUCGUAGACCAGAACAUGAGCUAGUGCGACAUCACGAACAUCCACAUAAGCCUGAGUCAAAUUAGCGUAAGUCUUAGCCGAGCCAGUUAGAUACUUAAGAACGUGGAAGAGACUAGCGUUGAUCGUCGGCUGUAACGGCGGUCCAAGAACCAGCACCGGGUUCAGAACCACCAGGUCAACACCUUUCUCCUCUGCCGUCUCCCACGCGGCUUGCUCCGCCACCAUCUUGCCGUAACAAUACCAAUUCUAUAAAACACAUAAAAAAUUUUAGUAGACCAAAUAUAAAAAACUAACUAUUUUAAUUUGAGUUAGACAUCAAAGUAUUUUAGUUUUAGUUUUCAGGUUUGUUAAGUGCAAAAGCAUAGGAUUGAAGCCUUGGUUAUUUCAAAUGCACAAUUCAUCUGCUAGUAGAAUUGUAGAAAGUGUUAUUUACAAAUAAACUAACUUUUUUUAUCAUUUUCACACCAAAUCUUAAUUAAUAAAUUAUAGGAAUAAAGUCAAGACCUUGGUGUUUUUGCAGAACUCAAGAUCACUCCAGCAACUUUCGUCAACGACGGCUUCAGGGUCACGGCUCGGGUCCAUGUAGACCGCACCAAUUGAGGAGGUGAUUACCACGCGCUUAACCUUGGCUUCAGCUGCAGCAUUAAUUACAAACUUGGCUCCGUUCACGGCCGGCUCCACCAUCUGCUCCUGAAAAUUUACGUUACAUUUUUUAAAAUAGAUGAUCAAUAAUACUACAUUUUUUUUUUUUUUAUAUAUAAUACUACAUUUAAUUUAACGCAUUCAUUGAUUUGCCCCUCCGACAGUCUAAUUUAUAACCAUAUAGUUUCUUCCCUUCCGAAGUCGAAUGUAUUAAUUUCAUUACAGUUAAAUGUUAUUUUAACGUCUUGAAAUUAAAUAAUAUACUUUACCAAAACCAACAUGCAAAAGAUUUUUAACUUCUUUCAUGCGAUAUUUUUUUACUAAUAAUAAGAUUUGAACGACAAACAAAAUCUAAAAGAAAUCAGCUCCACUACCAUAAUUGUCUUUGUUAUCUCAUGUAGGUCCCUAACUUUAUUCGAUUAUUCUCAGGAGAAGAAAAAAAUACUCACGGGAUCGUCAGUGACCGGAGAAGCCGUAUGAAAGACGCCGUCACAACCAUCGAUAGCCGACUUAAGAGCAUCGUAGUCCUGAAGAUCUGCUUUGCACAGAAUCAGUCUCUCCUUGGCUCCUUCGAGUUCUCUCAAAUGUGUAUUCUUGGGAUCAUCUGCAAAAAAAAACAAUAUAAAAAAUUAAUAAUUCAUCCAAGCAAUUAAUUAAUUCAACCAGAAAAUAUUAUCAUUAUUACAGUGACCAAAAAAGUAUAAUAUUAUCGGACCUGGAUUCCGUACGGUUCCUUUGACCGUGUAGCCUCUCUCAAGUAGUAACUUAACAAUCCAAGAAGCGAUGUAUCCACCAGCUCCGGUGACGCAAACUGUUUUCCCGACCGCUGUAGAUUCGUCGACUGGCAUUUUUUUUCCGGUGUGGUCGAAAGUGAAAGCUUCGGUCUUCGAAGAGGCAGAAGCAAAAUGAUGAAUGCGUACAAAGUGAGUUACGGUUUGUAUAUAAAGACUGAAAAGGAAGUUUAUCCUUUUUUGAUUCCUCACACCUAACCAUUGUGAUGAGUGUGGUCUACAUAUUUAUAUUUUAUUUGCAUAUAUGUAUAGAAAGACAAAACAUAUUUAUUAUUUUAUAAAAAGAGGGGUUGGUGGAAGCAGAAAAUUAUUUGGAACAACAAUACACCAGAAAAAUCUCAUAAACUUGGACAAAACUCUACCUACAAUCAUUUUACUUUGGGUAAUAUAUCUCUACCAAUAUUUCUUGAUGAAGACAUUAAUACAUCUUCUAGACGAUGUAUGUAUAUGCAUAUACCGAAAUAAUAUUGAUUUACACCUUUAUAAUCAUUCAAGAAAUCAUUGAUUAGACUGGACGUCUAACCCAAACUUUUGAUUAUCUACACCAAUUUUUUUUAUAAAAAUAUUAUAGAAAAAUUGUUUCGCUUAGGUUCGAGCAGUAGUAGUACAAAUAUAUUAAUUCUAGAAGAAAAGGGGUGUGGUAUGGGACAAGACAAGUCGCAAGUGUUAUGCUUGCAGUUUACUUACCUACUCCAUUGAUGGUAGGAUGUUACGAUUUAGACACUUUUCUCUGAAAGUUAAAAAUAAUGCGCUCAAUAAAGGAAGUGCUGAAAUGACUACACAUAUAAUCACUGUUUUGUGUUUAGCAAAGCACACACAUGUCCUCUAAAAUGUAUGUUACUUAGCUAGGUGACACCAGCAAACUAGUUCCACAAUAAGACAUAAUAGGUCAGAAGACUCUCUCUACUAACAAUAACACCAUAAGUCUUUAAACAAGCAGCUUCACUAAACAUAAAAGUUACCUAAACCACAAUAAUCAAUCUUUAUCAUCACCUAACCAUGCAUGGCCCCAUGGAUCAACCUGAAACAGGGGUAGUACCAGCUUCUGCUUUAUCAGUCUCUUCUCCCACUUCCUUAACUGCUCUCUGAUCAUCUUCUUCAGCUUCAUUUUCUACUUUACCAGUCUCAGUCACACUUGGCUCUUUUUCAGCUCCAUGACUCUGCUCCUCAGAUAUGUCCUCCUUAGCGUCUUCACUUGGCUCUUUUGCUGAUUCUCCCUCUCGUACCUCAGACAUAUCCUCCUUCUCAAUCAAUUUUGUGUCUGCACUUGGCUCUUUCGCUGAUUCUACCUCUUGUACCGCAGACAUAUCCUCCUUCUCAAUCAAUUUUGUGUCUGCACUCGGCUCUUUUGCAGAUUCUCCCACUUGCUCCUCAGACAUAUCCUCCUUCUCAAUCAAUUUUGUAUCUGCACUUGGCUCUUUCGCUGAUUCUACCUCUUGUACCUCAGACAUAUCCUCCUUCUCGAUCAAUUUUGUGUCUGCAUUUGGCUCUUUUG
rnacentral:lncRNA from 1 species